GAGGUGGUGGCCUUUGUUGCUGGAAGCUGAGUUGGUUAUUGAAGCUAUUCCCUUGAUUCUGAACCGCUGGUUGCUGAAAACCCUGUUGAGCUUGGGAGUUACCUUGGUACUGAUUCUGUUGGACAAAGCUUUGAGGAGUGUAUAUUUGGUCUUGGGGGUUGGCCACAUUGUUGCUCCUAUAGGACAAUUUCUGGUGUUUAUUGAAGUUGUUGUAACCAUUGAACUUGUUUUGAUUCCCAAUGAAGUGCAACUCCUCUUGAGUGAGACCCUCUUCAUUGAUAUUUGUGAAGCAUCUCUUCUCCUCACUCACAUAGUGUAUAGGCUUUUGAGUGGCAGCUAGGGCUUUGUCAAGCUUUAUAUUCAGCACUUUAAACUUCUCUUCCAGCCCUUGGUGUCUACCAGAAUCGUCUCCUCUAUAGCUUUUAUCAUAAUCUUCCCCAUAAGUUUCUUGGCUCAUGGCUAAGUUCUCAUCAAGUUCCAUAGCUGCAUUGAUUUCUUUUGCCAAGAAAUUUCCAUUUGAUGCUGUGUCCAACUGAAUCCUGAUCUUAGGAACAGCUCCUCUAUACAAAGUGCUAAGGAGAGAGGCUUCUGAAAAGCCAUGAUGUGGACCUUUGUUUGUGUAGCUUCUAAACCUGUCCAAAGCUUCUCCAAAGGUCUCAUUAGAAUGUUGAGUGAAGCUGGAAAUCUGGUUCUUUAGCUUUGCAGUCCUUGAGCUUGAGAAGAACUUGUAUAGAAAGGCAAUCUUGCAUUGCUCCCAUGUGUGGAUGGAUCCUCUUGGGAGGUUCUUUUCCCUUUGAUGUGCCUUAUCUCCAAGGCUGAAUGGGAACAAUCUCAGUUUGAAGCUGUCUUCAGAUACCCCAUUGAUCUUAGUGAGAUCAUAAACUCUGUCAAACUGAUCCAGAUGCUCCAAGGGAUCCUCCAUAGGUAAGCCAUGGAACUUCUGAUUCUGAACCAUAUUGAUCAAAGAGGCCUUCACCUCAAAGUUAUUGUUUUGGACAGGAGGUGGCCUGAUUCCUGCUCCAUACUGGUGUGCAUAAGCUCGGUCAUUCUCACCAACAAAGACUGGUUGGGGCUGAUGACGUAUGGGUGGGUUUGGUAAGGGUUGUGGCUGGUUAACUUGAGGUAGGUCUUGGUUCUGGUUACCCUGAGCGUGUCCCUGAUGGACCUGAGCCUGUUGAGCCUGGAUUCCAAUCCCAUUACCAGCUCUUUCACCGUGAUCAGCUUCUUGAGUCUGAUGCUCAUUCCCAACUUGCUGAUUCAUUCCUAACCUCUCCAAGUGAACAGCUCUUUCUCUUUGUCUUCUGGCUUGGAUUCUUGUGAUCAUAAACCUGAAAACAAAGACAGAACUUGAAAGGUGAUCAGUAAAACAAAAGAAACUUGAUCUCAAAAACUAUAUCAGAAACUAAUGCUAACAAUCCCCACACAAUAUGGCAACGGCGCCAAUUGAUAACGAAGAUUUUUCAGGUCUUAGAUGCGUUAUCAAUCCCCUUGUCAAAGUAGUAUAAGGAGUGUCAAUCCAUAUGUGUGGUAGUUAGGCACUAGUUUAUGUGAUAAGUUCUUAAGUCAAGUGAUUAAAGACAGGUUUUUGAUAACUAGUAACAAAUGAAAUCAUAAACAAGAAAUAAACAAGCAAUGAUAAGGAAGUAAUUAAAGCAAACUCAACAAGAUGAUGGUGAUAAUAAAGAUGAUAAAAGCUAAACCUCUAGAUGUGAUCAUUGAUUAGGGUGCUGUAGAUAUUAAUUCAUGAUGCUAAGAACAAUAAUGCAAUGCAAGUUACUCUUUAGUCUAGACUUCAAAAGCAGAUUAAUUCAUUCCCAUGACAAUAAUCCCUUUGCUAAUCACUUAAUCAAGUCUAACAACCAUUAGAUAUAAUCAAGCAAUCAACAAGCAUAAUGCAUCAAGCCUAAUAAGUGACCAAACAAUCUCUCAACCAAGAAGACUGAAUCUUACACAGAAAGACAUAGCAAGCAAUCACAUGAUCUCAAACAUUUCAACUUUGAACUCUAAUCUAGACUAAUCUUCUCAUGAAGGCAUUAAUCUCUACACUAAUCCACUUUCAAACCAAAUUCCCAUUUGAGAAAUAUGAACUAAUGAGCAUUAAGAAACAGUUCUAAUAUGUCAUUUAUGCAAUUAACAAACAUUCCCAUGGCAUUAAUGCAUAAACCCUAAGUUAGCUUUCAUUCAGGCAUUUCAUCAAACACCUUGUGGGUGGAGAUUUGCCUAAGCUCUAGACCAGAGUGAUGUGCAAAGAUCUAGCAUUAGGAACAGCUAACUAAAGAAAUGAAAUGAGAAUCUAGUCCCUAAACAUCAUAAAUCAAAUAUCUAAGCACCCUAAUCUACACACCUAGAAGCUUAAAAGAUGACUACUCACUAAUCAUGAAGAACACAUCUAAUCUUUUGCAAGAGAUGAUGUUAAUCAUGAUUAGAAGCAGAAAUGAGAUGAUGAGAUGAUAUGAAACAGCUUUGGAAUGAUCAAAUCCCUUCAGAUAUCUCUUAAUCAAAAACGUUUUUACACUAAAAAGGAAAGAAUACUAGAGAGAAAACUAAGUAGAAGAUCAAAUCUUUAGGGUUUUUUUCCAAAAAGCUAUAUAUACUAAGUGCUAAUAGACCGGGUCAGCCCAGGACAAACUGGAUCCUGACCCGGCUUUGAUGGAUAGUGGUGUGGUUUGCCACGGUCAGAUGAUGCUUGGCCAGACCGUGGCAAACUGAUAGUGUCAAAGUUCUUGGACAGAUUCUUCAUGAUCAAGGUUGCCAUGGCUUGAUUUACACCAUGUUUAGUGGCCGUGUCUCUUCUUUUCUGGGUUUGGGUGAUGAACUUCUAGGAUUGCCACGUUCUUAAUCUGGACCGUGUCAUGUUGGGUGUGGCAAGUUGUUGAUGAUUCGGUGAUUGCCACAGCCAAACAUCAGGCCGUGCUUCAAUACCAUGUCAAAUCCCGACCAUGACAUUAUGGGCGUGUCAAAGAUUUUCAUUGCUUGCCGUGGUCAGGUUCAAGGCCGUGCCUCAAGACCAUGUCAAAUCCCGAAAGUUGGCUUCAUCAGUAGUACCUUGCCACGGUCUGAUGUAGACCGUGGCAUUCUCACAGUGUCAACCGCCGAAGGUUGGGAAAACAUUGCCAUGGCCAAGUCCUAAAUCGUGGCAUUGAGACCGUGUCAAUCGCCGAAGAUGAGUAAAGUCCUUCCCGGCCAAAUGCUACUUUGCCACGGUCAAGUGUAGACCGUGGCAUGAAGCUCGUGUCAAGUGCCAAAAGACUGCAAUUAAGUGCCACGGUCAGGUGUGGACCGUGGCGUUCCCUCGUGGCAUCUUUCCCUUAGCUCGCAUCGUUCUGGGCUGCUUGGACCACUUUGCACUGGGAGGCUUAACUUCCAGGAUAUUGGGCCGAAUUGUGUGAUUCCUGUUGAAGAGGACAGAAGACUCAUAUAUCUUCAGCUUUGCUGAAGGAAGCUUCGGUGCUUGGGAAGUGGAAGGUUUCCUGGAGGGCUCAUCUUCGCAGUGCAUUUACACGAUCAGGGAAAGGCGUCUAGACAUGUGUCCAUUCCGGAGACCGUAUCUUCUUGCUCAUAGCUCUCAAUUGAAUGAUCUGGGAUUUUCUGGAAAGAGGACUCGAAUAUCUCUGAUUCUGAUAAAGGUCCCGUAAACUGAAUCGGUCUGAAAGUGCACCGUCCUUCGCAUUCUUCGGAGCUCAUCGGCUUUGUCCAAAACGGCAGCGAGACAGGAGUUUCUUCCGACGAGCUUAACUUUCUGCUCACGCGUCCGAAUUCCAUGAUUCCACUUGCUCUGGAACCGUGAUCCAAUCCUCUCUAUUUUUGAUGAAGCACCCGACAUCUGAAUCGGACCGGAAGGUUCCCCGGACAGGCGAUUUCGGAAACGUGUCUGCACUCGAAGAUUUUGGCUGAGGAAUCAUUAGUCGGUACGCAUUUUGGCCGAUAAAAUCCACCUGCGGUACGUGAGAAUGGCCGAGAAAAACCUUCCUGGUGCGCGAGAGUGGCCGAGAAUCUCCAAAAACCCAUUUUUGCCAUUUUUCAAACCUUGAUCACCAUUUCUCUUCCUGGAUCCAUCUCCUCAACUCCAAAUAGCUCCAAAUGCACCUGAUAAACACUCAAAACAUGCAAAGACUCAUUGGGACCUAAUGCAACUCCUAAGUCUUAAAACAAACCCUAAGGACCUAAAAUGCAUGAAAUAAGACAUGAUUUGGAAUGAAAUAUGCAACCUAAAUGAUGUAAAUUAUGAACAUAUCACUGUUCCUGAUGAACAUUACCCUGAUGUAACCCUUGACCAACUCCAUUACCAGCUCCAUUACCCUGAGCCUGUUGCUCCUGAACCGGUUGUUCUAUGUCCACCACAUGCUCUCUUUGGUCUUCCAUAUCAGCCUGAUCAAUCUGUCUGCCACGCCUGUCCCUUCUCCUACUUGGUACCAAAAGAUUAAUGUUGUCGUUUAAGGGGAAAGGUGGACCACAACUUCUUGAUCUGGACCUGGUGUUCAUGCACCUGAAAUUCACAACCAGAACUUGAAAGAAAUUAGAAACACAAGAGAAAAUGCUUGAUCUGAAGAAAUGACACAAUCUCAAUGCUAUCACACUUUGGCAACGACGCCAAUUGAUAACUUAGAGUUUUCAAAGCUCUAAAUGAGGGGUUAUCAAUCCCUUUUGUCACUUUGCAGUACAAAGGGUAUCAAUCCAUCAUGUGUAGACACUUAGAUACAGUAUCAGUUCUUAAUUCAAUCCAAAUGAGUGAAGUUUUGAUGAUUAAUGACAACUAAGAAUGGAAAAAACAAGGAUUAAAGCUAAUGAUCAACUUAAACAAGCAAGUAAAUGAGCUAAAUGAGAUGAGAAUGUAUGUAUGAUGAUGAAAAAGGUCUUAGACAUGAUAGUGGAUUAGGGUGCCUUCAGUGAUAAACUAGUGAGCUAAUGAACCAUAUGAUCAAGCAAACCAUUCAACUUAAACAUCAUUAAUUAAGUUAAUCCUCUCAUGAAGGUAUCAACUCCUAUGCCAAAACAGUUUCUAACCUAAUCAUCAUUAGUGAAACAUGAAUCAACAAGCAUUAAGAAUCAGUUUAAUCUGUCAUUUAAGCAUAUAGACAAUCAUUCCCAUGAUGAAUAACACUUAAACCUCUAACAACCUUGGUUCAGACAUUUCAUCAAACAGUUUUGGUGCAUGAAAUGUCCAGAAUCUAGACCACAUAUUAUUUGUAUGGAUCUAGCAUUAAGAACAGGUUGUAGAGAAUGGUAUAUGCAUGAUCUAACCCCUAAGCUCACUAUUCUACCACUUAAGCACCCUACUCUACAUAUCUAAGACUUUAAUAUGGAGAUUACUCACUAAUCAUGAUCAACACACUAGAUCCUUUGCAAGAUGUGUUGUUAAUCAUGAUUAGAAGUGUGAUUUGAUGAUGAGAAAUGAUAGAACAAGAUGGAAAACACUCUUUAAAUCGAUAUUAAACUCAAAACAAGGUAUUAUCAAGUGGUUCUUUCACCAAAAAGGUAAAGGAGACUAAAGAUAAGCUAAAAGUUCUCUCCAAAUUAGGUCUAAAAAGUAUUUAUAGUAGCCAAGAAGAACCGGGUCAGCCCGGAACAAACCGGAUACUGACCCGGCUUUGGUGGGUAAAGAAGAAGUUUGCCACGGUCUAGCAGGUUUUUGUCAAGCCGUGGCAAGUGACCGUGUCAAGUCCUGUGUCUCUUGUUCUUGGAUGAAUCAUGAUGCCACGGGUUCCCUUUGGUCGUGAUGCAUGGCCGGGUCAAAAGCCGAAAGAUUGCACAAAGUUUCCAUGGCCAAGUCUAAAGCCGUGGCGUGGAGACCGUGUCAAAUGCCGAGAGAUUGCACAAAGUUGCCACGGCCAAGUCUAAAGCCGUGGCGUGUGGUCGUGUCAAAUCCCGAAUGUAAGUAAAAUCCUUCCGCGGCCAAAUGUUACCUUGCCACGGUCAAGUGUAGGCCGUGGCAUGAAGAUCGUGUCAAACCCCAAAGAACUGCAAUCAAGUGCCACGGUAAGAUGUGGACCGUGGCAUUCACCGUGCCAUCUUUCCCUUAGCAUAAUUUAAGCUUUGAUAAGGGUUAUCAAUUUCGCAGCGUUCAGGGCUCCUCGGACCACUUCGAGUUCAGGGAAGCAUAACUUCUAGGGAAAUUGUCCGAAUGGUGUGAUUCUAGUUUCAUAGGAUAGAGGACUCAGACAUCUUAAACUUUGGUGAAGGAACCUUCGGUUCUUGGGAAGUGGAAGGUUUCCUGGAGGGCUCAUCUUCGCAGUGCAUUGACACGAUCAGAAAGAGGCUUCUAGACAUGUGUCCAUUCCGGAAACGUUAUCUUCUUGCUCAUAGCUCCGAAUUGAAAGAUCUCAGACGUUCUGGAAAAAGGACUCAAAUAUCUCGGAUUCUUAUGAAGGCCAUGUAAACUGAAUCGGUCUGGAAGUGCACCGUCCUUCGCAUUCUUCGGAGCUCAUCGGGUCGAUCCAAAAUGGCAGCGAGACAGGGGAUCCUUCCGACAAGCUUAACUCUCUGCUCACGCAUCCAAAUCCUAUGAUUCUACCUGCUCUGGAACCAUGAUCGAAUCUUCUCCAACUGUUAUGAAGCAGCCGACAGCUGAAUCAGACCGGAAGGUUCCCCGGACAGGCGAUUUUGGAAAUGUGUCUGCACCCGGAAAUUUUGGCCGAGAAACUUAACUAGCCGGUACGCGUUUUGGCCGAGGAAUCCACAGGCGGUACAUGCAAAUGGCCGAGAAAAACCUUCCUGCGGUACGCGAGAAUGGCCGAGAACCUCCAAAACCCAUUUUCACCAUCUUUCAAACCCUGAUCACCAUUUCUCUUUCUGGAUUCACCUCUUCAACUCCAAAUAUAUAACCUAAAUGAUGCAAAUUAUGAACAUAUCAGUAUGUGGAAGCUAGACACUAGACUAUAUGAAUUAUUUCUUCACUCAAGCAAACAAGUGGGGUUUGAUUCAAACAGGUGAUUAACUAAAGAACUAAACAAGAUAAAUAACUAGAAAAUGAUCAAAAGCAAGAAACUAGAAAUAGCAAAUGACAAAUGAGAUUAUAUGGAAUGAUGGAAGCAUGAGAUUCUAGACAUCAUAGUUGGCUAGGGUGCUUGAAUGCUAAACUAGAAAUACUAAUGACAAUAAUAAAACAUGAUUCAAAUGAUUAGAACUCUAAUUAAGCCUUAAUCUUUCCCAAGCAUCAAGACACAGAUCAAGUUAUUUCACAUACCCAAUCAUCAUUGGAGAUCAAACAACAAGACAGCAUUAAGAAUCAGUUCUAAGUAAUAAUUUAUCCAAAUAACAAAACAUCAUCAUGUGGUUAAUGCAUAAACCUCUAAUAUAGCUCUUUCAGGAAUUUCAUCAAACACUUGUGGUGUAUGAAAAACCCAGAUUCUAGAUCACAAGUGAUAUGCAGGGAUCUAGCUUAGAGAUCAGCUAUUUAGAGAGAUGAAAGCAUGGAUCUAGCCCUAAGCACUUCUAAUCUAGCACUUUAGCACCCUAACCUACAUAUCUAAAACCUCAUUAAGGAGACUACUCACUAAUCAUACAAAUCUCUCUUAAACCUUUGCAAGUAGAGUAUAUUAGCAUGAUUAAUGGAUGGAAAUGAUGAUAGACAUGAUAUAUAAGAUAGAUUACAGCUUUAAACAUACAAAGAUCUCUGAUUUCUCUUGAUUAAAACUCACAAAAGUAGAUAUUUCUCUUCUAAGGAGUUUUUUCACAAAAGAGGCAAAGAAAACAAAGGGAAUAAAGCUUCUCUUUAAGAAAAACCCUAAACAUAUUUACAGUCUCUCAAACAAACCGGGUCAGCCCAGGACAAACUAGGUACUGACCCGGCUUAAAUGGGUAAAAUUCCAAGUGUGCGAGUUGUUCAGGUGCUUCCCAUCCCGCAGGCCUGAGUCGCACAGCCAUAGAAACAGCCUUGUGCGCCUUAAAUCCUUCAGCCUAAGCUGCAUGCCUAUCUUGGUGUAAACCGCGAGUGUUUGUACUGUUCAGGCUUUCUUCUCUUCAACUCGCACAACCAAGACGCAUUUUGGAGAGAAUAUGUGUGCGAGUUGGUCCUCUUUAGCUCCAAGUCGCAUGCCCAACUCGCACAAGUCUGGAAAGGUGCUUUGCAAGAUAGAACUUUGUAAGCCAAGCCGCAUUCCUCUCUCGGUGUAAACCGUGAGUAUUUAUGCGAUUCAGGUUCUUUUGCUUUCUAACCCGCAUACUCAGAUAGCACAGGUCUUAAAGCAUGUGUGCGAGUUGAUCUCCUUCACUCCCAAGUCACAGGCCCAACUCGGUCUAAACCGCGAACAUAUGUGCGGUUCAGUUCACUGCUCGGCUAACUCGCAUGCCUAAGUUGCACAGCUUGUGGACUUUUUUUCCUGCCCGGGGGUCUUUGGUCUCACUCAGGGUUGCCUUAACCGCACAUCUCCUCACGCUGCUCAUUUCCAGAAUUUAGUCUUUAGGCGCUGCGAGUUAACCAAGAUGCAGAACCAUCUCGCACAAAUCCAAGUUUCCUCGGACCACUUCGCCUUCGGGGGAGCGUAACUUCCAAGAUAUGGAUCGAAAUGGCAUGUUUCCAAUUUCAGUGGAAAGAGCACUCAAAUAUCUCAAACUUUGGUGAAGAAACUUUCGGCUCUUGGGGAUUGUAAGGUUCCCCGGACGGCUCAUAUCUGAAAUGCAUUGAAACGAUCAAAAAGGAGCUCUUGGACCAGUGUUUACUCCGGAGAGGCUAUCUUUCAGCACAUAGCUCCAAAAUGAUUAUCUAUGAUGUUCUGGAAAGAGCACUCAAAGACCUUGAAUCUUGAUGAAUGCCCCGGAAACUCAAUCAAACUGGAAAGGCAUCGUCCCAUGCAAUCUUUGUGAAUCAUUGGAUAGGUCUUGAAACUGUAGUGAGACAGGUGUGUCUUCCGGUGAGCUUAACUCUCAGGUCACGAGUCCAAAUCCAAUGAUUCCACCUUUUCAGGAUCCGUGACCUGAUCAUCUCUAUCUUUUCUGAAGACCCUGUAAGCUGAAUCGGACUUUAAAACUCUUGGGACAGGCAAUCUUUCAGAGUUAUCGGAUUGGUCCGGAAUGGAUGCGAGACAGGUAUGUCUUCUAGUGGCCGUAUCUUUCAGCUCACUGCUCCAAAUUGAUCGAUUCUAACUGUUCUGAAAUCUAGACUCAAUUAUCUUCCGGAGGCUCAAUCGGCCGUCAAGACCUUCUGGUAACGUGAUUUUGGAGAUGUAUCUUCACCCGAGACUUUUGGCCGAGAACCUUGAACAGCCAGUACGUGUUUUGGCUGAGAGAUCUACCCGCGUUACAUGAAAAUCGCCGAGAAAAGCUUCCCGCGGUAAAGGCUAUCGCCGAUAACCUCCAAAAGUCUGUUUUCACCAUUUUUAAAGCUCCAUUCACCAUUUCUUCUCCUGGCUUCAUCUUUUCAGGUCCAAACUGGUUGCAAAUCACGUGUAAACACUCCAAAACAUGCAAGACUCACUUGGACCUAAUGCAAACCCCUAAGUCCUAAAAGAACACCCAAAGACCUAAAAUGCAUGAAAUAAGACAUGAUGUAGAAUGAAAUGUACAACCUAAAUGAUGCAAAUUAUGAACAUAUCACUGCGGCUGCUGUGGCUGGGGCUAAUCUGAACGUUGCUGCGGCCCCGGUUGGAUUAGAAGCGGUAUUGGGUCUGUUGACCCAGAUGUUAGCAUGAUUGCCGGCUGUUGCGGCUCUCCCCGUGGGACCACCGCCAGUUGUGCAAGUGAAUCCGCCGGCUGUAGAACGGAUGAGGGAAUUGCUUGUCUGAGGAUCCCAUCUUACCUGAAGGUGAAGGACCACAUGCAGAAAUCAGGGACACAGUUCUUUCCCGGAGGAACUAGAACCGACCGCGCUCUGAUACAAACUUGUAGCACCCUAACCCGGAUUUUACUUUUUAACUUAUACUUAGUCAAAUUUCGAUCCUGAUUUUUACUUAGCAUUUUUCACAUUUUGUUCGUUCAGGCUGUUUUAGCCGUGCAUAACUGGAUUAAAAACAGAAUACUUGAAUUAAAUCGAGGUCUUCAGUACAAUGAUUAUUUGCAUAUAAACUAUUACAUUGACUAAGACCUUAACUAUCCAGAUCCUAUCAUAUAUUCCUUUCCACCUUUAGUCUGCGCACGCUAAUCAGACAUUAUCCUUACCUGGAUCCACAAAGGAGUCAUAAGCAAACAGAACUGCUUAGUGAGAGCGGUCAUCCCAUCUCACCGAGCCAAAGUACAAUCGCAUUAAACAAAGAUCAAGCCCAGUGCUCAUCAGAAACAGAAAACUACCCGCGCAUGACCAUACACGCUUACCCGGCCGAUCAUCCAGCAACCAGACAAGCCUCGGCGAGCAUCACAGCCGCGAGCGCUUGCCUGAUAUAGAUUGCCGGUAAGGUGGAUCGAUCAUCACGGCAUAGCCAGCAGAAAUGUCAUGACAAGCACAUAAAUACACUCAACCGACUAGAAUCUAAGCAAGAAUACGACCAAACUAGGCCACGGUCACACACUCACCUUAGCUUUUCUCGGACAGGUUUGGUAAAGACAGAGUUCUUGAUCGCUCAGACUUGUUCCACAAUCGCUCGGCAGAAUACGUAUCACGAUCGACAGAAUCGUACUCGCUCUCGGCCAGAAUCGGAUAUCUCUCGGUAAAACAGACUUUCUCUCGACUAACUUCUCUUAAAAUGGUUUCUCUCGAUCUUUCUGAUUUCCUUGGUCGCGCAAAGAAGAGAAAAUGAGACAGAAGCCUUUAUUAUAUAGGCGCUCACACGAUUUUCCGCAGAAAACCGCCCAGAAACUAUUCCCGCACCAAAUCGCACACUCUCUCAGCUAAUAACCGCUCUCACGCGUCUUUUUGCCCGAUAAAUAACCAUUCCCGCGCUAUCGCUCGCUCGGCUAAAAUCCAUAACCGUUCCCGCGUUUUUGCCUUAGCAUGUUUACCCGAUAACCGCUCUCGCGUACACCUGACGCCGACGCAAACUAUCUGCUCCCGACCAACCUUGUCUGAAUUCCGACCAAGUCCCGAGAAACUUGGCUUGUCGGAAUAUCCAGCUAAAUUUCCCAAAAAUCACGGUUAGCUGAUUUUAGCUCGACAAAACUCGAUUUAGCUUGGUGAAAGCUGGACUUAGCUCGGAAUCACCCGACCAAACCCAAUUUCCUUGGAAUAAACUCAUUUUUCCGAACUUCUUCAGUUAACCCCUGGUUUUUUCCCCAUUUCUGCUCUACAUAACUCAUAAUUGCCUUAACCAAAUUUUCACUUGGUAAGGUUUUCCCAAACACGGGUGUUACACAAACCCCCUUCCUUAAUGGACUUGAUUUCUUUUAACUCAUUUAAAUCCUUCACUGCCAUGAACUGUUCUUCAGGGAGAGAAUCAUUAAGAAGGACAUCAGCUUCCACUCUUAGUCUAGACACGUGAUCAGCUACUCCAUUUUCAAUGCCUUUCUUGUCUUUGAUUUCCAUAUCAAAUUCCAGGAGAAGCAAUACCCAUCUCAGCAGCCAUGGUUUUUCAUACUUCUUUGUCAUAAGGUACCUCAAAGCUGCAUGAUCAGUGUAGACCACCACUUUAUACCCCACCAAAUAGGAUCUAAACUUGUCAAAGGCAAAGAAAAUGGCCAGCAUCUCCUUCUCAGUUGUGGCAUACUUCUCUUGAGCUGUAUCCAAUGUCCUACUGGCAUAGUAGAUGACAUGAAGCCUCUUAUCUUUCUUUUGUUCCAGCACAGGACCAACAACAAAGUCUGAUGCAUCAGUCAUGAUCUCAAAGGGCAAGCUCCAAUCUGGUGCUUGAACAAUGGGAGCACUUAUCAGAGCUUGCUUGAUCUUCUCGAAAACGUCAAUGCACUCUUGAUCAAAGAGGAACGCCACAUCUUUGCAUAGAUCCCCCAAGUUUUCUCUUGGUCUCUAGAGUCUAUGGGUGAUAACACCGUAUUUUGACCACUUUUAUAGAUCGUUUUGAAAUACUUUUUCUAUGUUUUUAAUUGCUUUUAAGUACUUUUACGUUUUUCUAGUAUUUGUAGUUCCAAGAUUCUUUUCAGGUAACUUUCGGAAAAGCUUAAAAAAAUGGAUAGAAAAUCAGAUUUCAACUCAGAGUCAAACCAUCAGAAGUUCACCCCCGAUUGAAGGCCUUCUCACCGUCUGAUCCAGCUCAAAUUUGGAGAUCUUAAAGAUGGAAGUAUCAGCUUUCCAGCACACUUUACAGCUUGGCAAUCCAACGGUUCAAUCAAAAGAUACGCGAAUAGCAAGAUGUCCCGUAAACCAGCCAGCAAGCGUUUCCACCUGCGGCCAACAGGCUAUUUCCCGCGGUCACAAUCAUCCCGACCGCGGCCAGCCAUCCAUUCCCCGCGGUCACACUCAUCCCGACCGCGGCCAGCUAACUCCGACUCCGAAGGCCCAUUUCUGAAGCCCAUAUCAUUUUCCCAUCCUUGAUUCCGGAACCCUAGACCCUAGAGAUGUCUUGAGCACUAUAAAUACAUGUUUUAGGAACCCUAAUUCGUAUGACCUCAUAUGCUCUUAUUGUUUUAGAAUACUUUUUAAGUUUUAGGUUUUAGGGAGAGAGAGAUUUGUCUCUUGAACCCUUGUUCUUUCUUUUUCAAUUUCGGUUUCUAUUCUACUUUUUAAUACUAUGUUUUUGAUUUCGUUCAUCAUGUCUGAGUAGUUUUAUUGUUGGGAUUAUGGGAUUUUUGAUGGGGAUAUAUAUGUUCGGUGAGGAUUCCAUUGGCUUUUGAGCCGAAUCUUAAAACUUUUUCUUCUGAAUUCGUUUUUACUGCAUGAGAGUAGCGUCAUGAACUACAAUCUGAUCCAGAUGCUUGGUGAAACGAAAGUGUUCUUCCGGUGUCAGGUCUAGUUUGGGAGAGCAAAACAAACAUAGGAGUGGAAACCUACCUAUAGGCGAUUUGUGAAUGCUGACGAGUCUUAAACAUAAUGCAUCUCUUCUUUUCCAGGGCCAGAGUGGAAACCUACUGGUCAGGGUUAAGAGAGAUAGUUGUCUAUGAUCACCUCAUCCUGUGUUUUCUCAUGGGCAGCUCUAUGUUGCAAUAUCUUGGGUAACAUCGAAGAAAGGCUUGAAAAUACUGAUAGUAGAUAGAGAUGGUAAUCCACAAAGGCAAAAAAUGAAUGUUGUAUUCAAAGAAGUAUUUCGGAAUUUAGGAAAUGAUCGUGAUGAUUAAAAAGUUAUGUUUUUCAUUUUCGUAUUCGUUCCGUUAAUAAUAUAAUGCAUUCAUUAUUUAAAACUUUUUUUUUAUGUUUUAUUUAGCGGUGAAUGUGUCACUGUAUUCAUAUGGUUAUUAUAUGAUUCGGCUCGGUGUUGUAUAUCGUUUGACGUUGUUAUAUUUUUCAAUUGAACAAUAUAUGUCGAACCAAUUGAAGUAUUAUUUUGUUUUGAAAUACAGUGUCAUUUGGUUAAUUGUUUUGGGUUUUUAUGUAAAAGUGUUAUGUUUGAUAUGGCCCAUUUAUGAUAGAAACUAGAUAGAAGUUUAUAUUUUGGUAUAAUGACCGUUUGUAUUUGCAACUUUUUAUGCUUAUAUUUAUUUCGAUCGAGUAUAUACGGACCAAUGUUUACCUUUAUAUAUAUUGAAAUGGUAGUUUACGAUGACGUGUAUGAGAUAAAUCAGUCUCGAACAGAUUGGAUUGUAUGUAGUUCAGACAAUGAAUUCGGUAAGGUACACUUAUAGUAUUGGUGUCUGACACAAAGGUUUAGUUAUGAUACACUAUAGUUAUAAAAAAACUAUUUAUUUAAUGUUUUAGGCUUUACAACUUGCGAAUAACAGUAUCAUAAAGAAUGUGUUGAAUCAAUUGUCUUAUAUAUAAUUAGACUUGACUUUUGAAAAACUAUAUUCAUCUAUUUUUGUUUAAAAUUGAUAUUAUUGAUUGGAAAAUAGUUGAAAGAGAUAAAACAUUCAGCUAACAAGAUAUUACUUUGAAAAGUACCUCACAAAUUAAAAAUUAAUCAAUGCACAAAAUACAGCUACAUAGCAACCUCGAUUGCAUCUAAAAGAAACAUACUGUCUAUUUACUUUAGUGCAUGCACUCGAACUUACCAUCCUUAUGUGUCAGACCUAUAUCUUACAGCAAGCAGAUUUCAUUUCAUGUAAGUGAAUUAUCACAUCAAUAAUUGUUUAUGGUUGCAUGCUAAAGUAAAUAGACAUUAUGUUAUUUUAGAAACUAACCAUCAUGAUUUACCAAAGGAUAUUUACUUAUCACACUUAUAUUAUCCAUAUUACAUGAUAUAUCAAAUCAAAAAUGUAGCAAACUAAUUGUUAAGUAAUCGCAUUACUUAUCGUUUAAGACAAUAUAUAGUAUAUUCAGUUGUUCAUAUUUUUGGUAGAUAAUAUAUUUAAAAGAAUAUUGUAUUAUUCUGACAAUUUGCUUAUAUAAAAUGUAGUAUAUAUAUUGACAUGAAUUAAGACAUAAAAAUAUAGUAGUGCAUUCAUUGUAUAUAAACCUUCUUAACUGCACCGAUAGUUUUAAUAAUUACGGUAUUUAUUUAGUAAGAAAAUCGAACCGGUUCGAAAUUUAUUGAAGUAGUGCACCUUUUACUGUUGACGACAAUUCUAUUUUUUUGUCUUCUAUAUAUAACCCGUCUUCAUAACUGAUAAUCAACCCUGCAUUCGAAGAUAUUUUGUUAGAAAAAAAUAAAAUCUCAACGAUUUAAGUUCUCUAACGAUGUCUUACUAUGACUUGGUUAGUCAACUCACACCAUGGCAAGAUAACUCUGUGAUACGUGUUGUGAUUUACAAGAAGUGGAUUGAGAAAGAUAGCCGUGUUCGGGAUUGUGUGGAAAUCAUCUUAUGCGAUGAAGAGGUAAAUAAUAUUAGAUUUCUGUUAUCUCGGUUUUUUAGUAUUUAUGAAUUUUUAUCUAUAAUAGUUAAAAAAAUUUUCUUUAAAUAUAUCGUUUUUAGGGAUGCAAAAUUCAUGCUGCUGCUUAUAACUGGAUCCAUGAAUAUUUUCGAAAAGAAUGUCACGAAGGAGAUUGGUUUGAGUUUCGUAAUUUUAUUGCGAAAGCUACUGACUGGAACAAUUGGAACGAGCGCCCAACUACUCAUAAUUACAAUAUUAUUCUUACGGCAUGCUUUACAAACUACCAGAAGCGAUAUUAUUCUUGAACUUAAUCAAAUUUGAAGAUAUUGUGAAUAGGAAAGUCGAUCCUGCGUUUCCUAUUGGUAAUAUUUACUUUCCUGUUUAAGAUAUUUACAAUGACUGUUUUCUCUAAUAUUUAAUCCAUUAUUCGUUAUGUCUUAUAAUCGUUUUUUUUUAAAUAGAUUUGGUUGGUGUGAUCGAUUAUGUUGGUGAAAUUUCAAUGGACAAUGAAAUUGAGUCCACUUCAAGAAUACAUCCAACAAAAUGUUUAGAAUUUCAUAUAAGAGAUCUCGAGUAAGUAUCUUUUUAUUUUUUAAGAUUGUUUUAUUUUUUAAGUAUUCAUAGUUUUUUUUUUGUUAUCUGUAUACAUAGUGACGUCAUUAUCAAGUGUUUUGCAAUUGACCAAUUUGCAAGUUGUUUCGAUAAUACGUGGAAAUCGAGAAAGUCUGAUCGUGUUUUUGUUCUAUUAACUGAGUGGAGACUUGGGGUCUAUAAAAGUUAGUAACCACAUGUAAAUUAAAUUUUUAUUUGUUUCUGAAAUUAUACAAAAUUAUAUUACUGUGUCAAUAUUUAGUUUUAUAUUUUACUUUGUAGGUAAACAUAUUGUUAGAAACAGAGGAGGUCAGUCUCGAUUUCUUUUCGACCUAGAGAUUACUGAAGUUCAAGAGUUUGCUUACAUGUAAGAAUUUGAGUGAAGUUGUAAUAUUAAAGUACAGUUAAUUUUAUGUUUGCUUAUAUAAUUUUAAAAACUUAUUAAACAGGUUUGUUUUAGCCGGCAAAGAAUCUAAUAUCAAACCAGGGAACUAAGAUGAUGCUCGAGUAAAAGCGACUAUAUUCAAGCAUCUAUUGUCUAAGGAGAUAUGUCCUCCUAUUACUUUUAUUCAAGCAUCUAUCUAUGGUCUUUAUGUAUUUCUGUAGACUUAUUUUAGUUGAUAGUUAAUUUUAUCAUUUUACUUAGUUAGUUACUAAUGUUAUUAAAUUUAAAUCAUCUUGAAAUAAAUAAGUCUCAUUUAUGUACACAAUUAAAUUCACUUAAUUUUUUUCUUUUUAAAAAAAAACGAGUUUCAAAAAUAUAAAUUAGGUUUGCCUUUAUAUCUUCCACACCCUUCCCCACAACGCCUUGGUAGUUAAAGUACGUCGUCUAUUUCGCUUUAUAAGAAUAUAUCUAUCAGAAGAAAAAAUCAUCCACUCUUUCUUAUCUAUAAUUGUCUAAAAUCAUGGAUUACCCAAGAAUCCAUAGAGAUGAGAUGAAAGAUUUACGUGACGUUGGUCAAUAUUGGGCUAUUGAUGCGAAGAUUUUGAAUAUUUGGAGGCAACCUUUAGAUGGCAGAGAGAGUAUUCAUAUGAUACUGAUGGAUCAUAAGGUACAAUUGCAGAAUAUGAAUUUAUUAUUUUUUUUACUAAAUUUGUUAUCAUAUUGAUUCUUCUUACAUGUUAAUUCCUAUCUGAUAACACAGUAUUUUGAUCACUUUUAUGGAUCGUUUUGAAAUACUUUUUCCAUGUUUUUAAUUGCUUUUAAGUACUUUUAUUACGUUUUUUCUAGUAUUUGUAGUCAAACUUUCAGGUAACUUUGGGAAAAGCUUAACAAAAUGGAUAGAAAACCAGACUUCAGCUCAGAGUCAAACCGUCAGAAGUUCACCCCCUUCUCACCGUCUGAUCCAGCUUAAAUUUGGAGAUCUUAAAGAUGGAAGUAUCAGCUUUCCAGCAUACUUUACAUCUUGGCAAUCCAACUGUUCAAUCAAAAGAUACGCCAAGAGCAAGAUGUCUCGUAAACCAGCCGGCAAGCGUUUCCACCCGCGACCAACAGGCCAUUUCCCGCGGUCACAAUCAUCCCGACUGCGGCCAGCCACCCAUUCCCCGUGGUCGCACUCAUCCCGACCGCGGCCAGCUAACUCCGACUCCGAAGGCCCAUUUCUGAAGCCCGUAUCAUUUUCCCAGCCUUGAUUCCGGAACCCUAGACCCUAGAGAUGUCUUAAGCACUAUAAAUACAUGUUUUAGGAACCCUAAUUCGUAUGACCACAUAUGCUCUUAUUGUUUUAGAAUACUUUUUAGGUUUUAGGUUUUAGGGAGAGAGAGAUUUGUCUCUUGAACCCUUGUUCUUUCUUUUUCAAUUUUGGUUUCUAUUCUACUUUUUAAUACUAUGUUUUUGAUUUCGUUCAUCAUGUCUGAGUAGUUUUAUUAUUGGGAUUAAGGGAUUUUCGAUGGGAAUAUAUAUGUUCGGUGAGGAUUCCAUUGGCUUUUGAGCCGAAUCUUAAAACUUUUUCUUCUGAAUUCGUUUUUACUGCAUGAGAGUAGCGUCAUGAACUACAAUCUGAUCCAGAUGCUUGGUGAAACGAAAGUGUUCAUCCGGUGUCAGGUCUAGUUUGGGAGAGCAAAACAAACAUAGGAGUGGAAACCUACCUAUAGGCGAUUUGUGAAUGCUGACGAGUCUUAAACAUAAUGCAUCUCUUCUUUUCCAGGGCCAGAGUGAAAACCUACUGGUCAGGAUUGAGAUAGAUAGUUGUCUAUGAUCACGACAGUGGCAUAUUCAUACGUCCGUGACUCCAGUUCGAAAAGUUUAAGCUAAGAUCUUAUCAAAUUUACUCUCUAGCAAUGUUUUGAAUCGCUCAUACCCCUGAGAAAACUGAUAACACCGGAUUUUGACCAUUUUGAUGGAUCACUUUAAUAUCUUUUACAGGUGUUUUUACUCCAUUUUCAAAGGUUUUCAAAGGAUUUCUAUGUUUUCGGAUUUUAAAAGACUUUUCAGGUAAUUUGGGAUAAAGAGGCACAAAUUGGAACAAAAAGACUCUUUUGGAUAAAUGCAGACCGUCAGAACUCUCAUGGAGAGACGACGACCUUCUCACCGUCUGAUCACCCUCAAAAUUGGACAACUUAUAGAAGAAUCAACCAGCUUUCAAAUGCACUUGGUUUGGAGACAUUCCAACGGUUGGAUCUCAAGAUAUUCCAUUAGCCCCGGAGCCACUCGAAGACGGCCAGCAAGUCACGCGACCGCGGCCAACAGCCCAUUCCCUGCAGUCACAAGCCUCCCGACCGCGGUCGGCUAACUCCGAACUAAAGCCCAUAUUUCUGAAGCCCAAAGUCAUUCUCAGCCUCAAUUCCGGAACCCUAGAGACCAUGGAGUAUUGAAGACUAUAAAUACUUAUCAUUUAGGUCGUCUUUAGGGAGAACCCUUCAUACUUUACAGAAACCCUUUUCCUUUAGCUGUUUUGAUGCGAUUUUUGUAGAAGAUUGUUCAAAUCCGAGUUCUUCAAUAGAGAAGCUUGUUCAUCUCUUUUCUUUACUGUUUUUGAUUACUUUUAUUAAAACCAAUGAUGAUGUCGACCUCAGCCAUGUCUGAGUAGAUCCCGAGUAGGGCUUAGGGUUCCCGAAAGGGGCUCUCAUAAUCAGCCAUAUCAAAAACGUAAUUUAAACAAAAUAUCCUAUUAUUACGGAUAAACUAAAAUUCGCAAUAACUGUCAAACUCAUUUGAAUAGAUAUGCAAGAUUACGUAUGCGAAUUAAAUCUACUUCAAAUCCUGUUAUGAUAUCCAUUAUUAAUUAUACCAAUAAUUAUUGUUACCAAUUAUAACAAUUGGCAAUAUAAUAGGGUACACAAUUCUAACCACUAUCACAUAUCUCAUUUUGGUUUUUUCCCAUAUUUAUUGAACACAAUAUAUUCUCAUAAAUGUAUGUUACUUAUCAUAUUCCUUAAAUUUUGAAAUAAUAUAAUAGGUGCUCAUCUUUGAACUUAUAUCAUAGGAUAUUUCAAAUUUAUCCCGUUUAUAUCGCAUCUCCGAGUAUAUAGACAAUUACAACUACUUUACAAAAACAACGUUAUUUGAUAUUAGGCAUAUCUAUUUCAAAAGUUUAAAUUUCACGAAUAUUCUUGGCCGCCAGUUAAUGGACAUUUAAUGGCUUAUCAAUAAACCCUAUAUAUUUUUUAUUAUAAAUAUACAACUCUUUCUUCCAAAACACUCCUCAUCAAGUUUCGUUUUCCUCUCUGUUUUGUUUUGUUUUUCAAUGUUCUUAUGGCUUCCACAACGAUGCUAACCCCUUUAGCUGACGUUAAGCCUUAUAGGACUGGGUGGAAGGUUCAAGUGAAGGUGAUUUAUACAUGGAAACAAUACCAAACCAAGAGUGGGGAGUCUUUGGAAAUCAUCCUGGCCGAUGAAAUGGUACAAUAUAUUAUUAAUCGACACUACUUUUAAAUAUUUUGAUUGUUCUGUUAAAUUUUUUAACUUUUUGAUCAUCCAGAGUACCAAAAUCCAUGCAACUGUCAAGAAAAACUUUUCAUUACAACUGUCAAGAAAAACUGUCAAGAAAAACUUUUCAUCAUCGUUUUGAACGGAUGAUGGUUGUCGGUGAAUGGAAGUUCAUAGAGAACUUUUCAUUUAAUCAGGCUUCAGGACAAUACCGGACCACCAGACAUCAAUUUAAGAUGUCAUUCAUAUCCUCUACAGUUGUCAGCAAAACUUCUAAUCGGUCAGACAGUCUGUUUUUUUAUUUCUCAGAGUUUGUUACAAUAUUGGACGAUGUAACCAAUACAAGUUUUUUGGUUGGUAAGUUUACUGAUAUAUUUAAUUUAAUUUGUUCAUUCCUCUUAGUUUCAAUAAAUCUCUGACUUUAUUUUCCUAAAUAGAUGUUAUUGGACAACUUGAAAGUGUCUGUGAGUUUCAAACAAUAUCUGUUAUGAAUAAAGACACCAGCAAACUCGAGUUCGCUCUACAAAAUGCUAAGUGAGUAUAUAUAUAAAUACAGACACUGUAUUUUUUAAUUUUUUUCUUUCAUCUGUUUUAUGUGAUAUGUGUUACAGUGAUGAACGUUUACCAUGCACACUGUAGGGAAAGCUUGGUGAGGAAGUCUAUUCGACUUGUCGGAGUGCGGGUGAAAGAAGUGUCAUUCUUGUGAUCUGUUUUGCAUAAUAAACGUUUUCAAAGGUACAUAUUAAAUUUUUUUAUUCAUAAAUUUGUUCUUUUCAUAAAUUUGUUAAAUAUUGUAGGUGAUUGUCGAAUUACAAGUAGUUGUCAAACAACAAAGGUUCUGAUAGAUUUGAAUGAUCCCGAUGUCAUUGUCUUCAAGAAUAGGUAAUUUGUCUAUGUAUAUUAUAUAUAUAUAUGUCUUAUCAUUACGAUUAUGAAUAUAACUAAUACUAUUACCUAUUCUUAGUUUACCUGAGCAUUGCAGACGUAUUACCUUCUUGAGUAGCAAACCUCAACAAAGGGUUUCUUAUGGUGAUGAGAUUCAUUUCGAUCAGUUUCCAAUGGUCACUAUUUCAGAAUUGCAAGAUUCUCUUGAGGUAUAUGUCAUUUUAAAACUUUGCUAGGGAAACCGUCACAGAUUAUAAAAUUUUGACAUUUGUAUUUUUGUUUCCUCAGGUUGGGAAAUGUAAGAUCAUGUGCACCAUCUACGCGGUUGACAUAGACUGGUCGUGGUUUUAUUUGGUUUGCACUAGGUGUGGUAAAAAAGUGUACAAAAAUCCAAAGAAGGAAGAUCAAAAAAUGACCAAGAAGAAUAAGACCCUUUAUUCAUGUGAAACAUGUGAUGCAAAAGUGUCCUUUGUGAGUGCGAGGUAAAAUUUUUUACUAUUUUUUAGUAUUUGUCUUAAUUAUUUAGCUAACCGUGCAUUCGAGUAUUUUAAUACAAUCUUUAUAUAUUGCUAGGUUCAAACUUCAUCUUGGCGUUAUGAACGAUACCAGCAAGAUCAAAUGUUUUCUUUUUGAUAGAAAUGCACAGGAUAUUUUAAAUCAGAAAGCUGAUGAAAUUCUCAAGGGGAACUUCGAUGAGGCAUUAAUUAUAAAUCUUAAUCAAUGAUACAAUUUUAACCCUUUAUGAAUAAAGACUUUGUUUGUUUAAAAUGUCAUGUUCGUUAUAUACUUAGAUACAAGAUCCGGAUGUCGUUCUUGAAGCACUGUAAAACUUGAUUAGGAAGACUUUUCAGUUUCUGAUUUGUGUUGAGAAAGAAAAUCUCUAUGGUGGUAGUAAUACAUACAAAGUCGGGAAGGUUUGCAAAGGAAAUGAUAUUUUAUCCGCUGAUGAGGUGAAUGAAUCUGAAGAUAUGGGUGAUCAGAGUUUGCUCUUGUCAGGGAAUAAGGUACAAUUUCGAAAAAUAUCAGCUUGGGUUACAUAUAAUAAUUUGUAUAUAUUAAUACACGGUAUUUGGCAUUUUAUGUUUAUAUUUAUAUGUAAACCUUGUAGGUGUCGCUGAUAAACACGUUGAGGCAAGAGCCUUCUUAUGAGGUGGAAAUUUGACAAGGGACUCGCUCAUGGAUCUGGAAAAGUGAUGGUCUUGAUAUAGCGAAAAAAUAUGGUUAUUUGAAUUCGUAUCUUCUCAUGUUAUUUCGCUAAUAUUGUUCAAAUUUUUGUUGAAAUUUGUUCGGAUGAUACUCAUGCAUUUGUUCUUGAACUUUAAUAAUUUAUUCUUUUAAUUUAACCAUUACUACGUUUACGUUAUUUUGAAAAUUACGUGUGUAUCGUGUUAAUUUUAUUGGGCCGAAAUUAAUAUUGCCUCACGUUUGCAGUGACAUAUUUGAGUAGUUACUAUAAUAUAUGUAUGAUGAUGAAAUUGUAGAUGAAUCAUACACUUAAUUCGGAGUACAUAUCUUAUUUUUAUAUUUUUCAACAUAUUUUCCAAUAUUUAUAGAAGAUAUAUUCAUUUAUUUGUAAAUGCUAUUCUAUGGGAAUUUGUGAAAAUUGAGUCAACUCUUAGUUAAUAUGUUUUAAUUAGAGCAGAAUUUUGGAGAAUAUGAAACACACGGAUGAAACAUGAGUAGUUACCUUACUUUUUAAGACUAUAAAUAAAAGUAGAAGGAAACUUUCUUCACUCAAAUACAAUUCUUUCUACAACUAUUCCUCUCAUGUGGUCCUCAGACAGACGUACAAAAACUAUCUUUACAUCCAAGAAAAAAAAAUUUUCUCUACUAAAUAUUUUUUAUACAUCUGUCAAGGAUCACAUCAGAAAUAAGUAGUUUAUUUCAUUUCUUAAACAGUAUUUUUUACAUUUAUAUUAUUCACCGUAAAAGGUCAGAUUAUUAUUUCUUAUAUGCUCAUCUAUGUAGUUUAUACCUAAGUAAAUUACUAAUUUAAAUCUCAAUUCAUUUUUUUAUGUAGAUGUUCGUGGAAUUAAUUAUUAAGUUUGUAAUUAUUAUCUUAUAAAUUUCAUUCAGCUAUUAAGCAACAUUAUUUAACGUAAAGAACAGAUAUAAUAAUUUAGUGAAUGAAUUUUAACAAAAAAUAACACUUUAUAUAGUGAGAAAAUUUGAUUGCAUAUAUAAUAUAUAAUCAUAUUGAGUGAAUGUGUAAAUUACCUAAUUAUAUACUGUCUUAACGAUUUACAAUAUGAAAUUAAUAAAUUAUAAUAUUUUUAAAAUAUACAGCAUGAAAUUGUAAUGGCAAUGUUUUUAAUAUGCUUCAUAUCUAUGGCAAGUAACAAUAAUUGUUAUGUACAUAAUUCGAUUUAUGGUAAAUUAUUCAUAUAUGUGAAUGAUAAUUUCACAUAAAUUUAUUUAAAUUGGUUAUGUUCAUUUAUCAAUUUUUAGUUUGAAAUAAAAAGAAAUCUUUACAUAUCAUAAUUGAUUAAUAGAUAUUGUUAAGAUUCACUUGUAAGAUUUGCGGCCGUAAAUUUAACCUAAACUCUUUCGUUUUAUUCUGAGUCUAUCUUCCCUCCCUAAUCCCAUCAAUUUUCGCUAUAUUUUGAUCUUCACGGAGAGGUUUUAUGAGAGGUUAAAUUAUGCCUAGAUAUUAAACAUGUUGAUCGGAAAAAUAAACAGAAGACUUUGCUGUCUGGUUGGAGCAGCCAAGUUAAUAAUUCAGGGUCAUCAUCUACUAAUUCGUUUACUCAGAACUCAGAUAUAGUGGAUAAUCAUUUUGAAAACGAGAUCAAAGUUCAUUCGCUGUUUCCACAAAUUUUGGUAGACAGAACAAAUACUGAAUCCCUAACUAGAACACAUAAUCAAUUUUCUCCUACUGUAUGUGAUGGACUAGAAAACUGUAAGUCUUCUUAAAUUGAUGUUUAGAAACUAGUUUCUUUAAAUCUUAUAUUAUUAUUGUUAACACAAUGGUUAUAAAUCAUUAAACUUUAGUAUGCGACAUUAUUAUUUCAAUAAUUCAGCUUUACAUACUCAAACAAAUUAUACUGGGAAAGAGAAUUCUUUCACAUUAGAAAAGAGAAAUCGGAAGCAACCAGAAUCACUAUCUUCAUGUGAGUUAUAUAUGUUUAGCGUAUUAUGGUCCUUUAUAUAUAAUGUACCUUAAUAAGUAUUGGUUUUCGUAAUUUUUAUUUUAUUUAUAUAGCCGACCUAUCCCAGUUGACAUCGACGAAGUUAACUAAUUGUGGGUCAAGUAACAAGUCAACCAAGUUUGUUUUCUUAGAAAAUGGAGAUUCAUCUUGUAUACGGAAUACAUAUGCUAUAUCUUCGUAUGAAGAUUAUAAAUGUAAACAGGAGAUUGGUCAGAACUACAACGAGAAUAUUCUUCACCAUCAACAUCGUGAAGGUGACUAUUUAUAUUGCAACUAAUUUUGUGGCCAGAAAAUAUCGUUCACUUGUAGUUCGUAUUGUUUUACAUUCGUCUGUCAGUACAUGUUGAUUAUAGUAGUCUUGGUGUUGAUGAUACCAAAGAUAUGUAUGAUGAUGUCGUCUUCCCAAACAAAUACUAGGAUUCAGAAGGUAAUAUUUUGUUUGCUGUAUUGACUUAAUGUGCAAUUAUAUAUACUUAUACUUUUUAACUAAUAACAAUUAUAUAUUUUAUAGUUGAGUAUGAUUAUGAACAGCGGUUUUACUGUAGCAGUCUUGAUGGUUCGUCUGAUGAGGAAAACUAUAUUAUGGAUGAAGCUGGCGAAGAAAUUUCAUUUGACAAUGAGGAACCUGAAGACUAUGUUUAUGAUGUCAAUAGUUUAGCUACUAUUUUGCAGAAAGCGUUUUCUGUAGGAGUCUCUAAUAAUAAUAUUCCUUUCAGCGAAUAUAAAGGUAUUUAUUUUCAAAGCUCAAUCUUAUGUUAUGUGAUUCACAUAUUAAUUUAUUAUAAUGUCGGACUACUUUUAUAUUCAGAAUAUAAAGAUGAUGGCUAUCCUUCAUAUGAGUGUAAUUAUUGUGGUGCAAUUUUCUGGUAUGGUGAAUGUUUAAACAAAAGAAGAAGAGCAAAUAAUCCUAUAUUUUCUUGUGAUGUUUGCAAAGUCAAGUAAAGCUACCAUACCUUCGAGAGUCUCCAUAGGAAUUAAUGCAUCUUUUUACAUCUGCCGAUGAUCUAAGCAAACAUUUUCACGAGAAUGUUAGACCAUACAAUGUGCUAUUUUCAAUGACUUCUAUUGGAGGUAAAGUAGUUAGGUCUAUCAAAAAGCGGUGUGGACCAUCAAUGUUUCAGCUUAACGGAGAGAAUUAUCAUCUGAUGGGAAGUAUGCUCCCUAAACCUGGUGAUGUUGCAAAGUUUUAUCAGUUAUUUAUUGUUGACACCGAUGAAGAAGUACAAAAUCGUUCGACCAUUAUGAGGUAAAAGUAAUGAUUGAAUUCAUAUUUAUUAUUAAUAAUAAUAUAUUUUUCUUGCAGCAAAAGUAAAAAUCCUAUGAAGGUGUCUAAAUGUAAACAAUUCAAGAAUGAAUUAAUUGAUAGGCUGAUUAAGAUGUUAGAUAAGGUGAUCCUUUACGUGAAGAAUUUUCGAGCUGCUAGAGAUAGAUUAAAAAUGGAUCCCAACGAGGAGCUUCAUAUAAGACUUAUAAAUGAUCGCCAGAAAGACUCAAGGAUAUAUAAUAUGUCUACUGCGUCUGAAGUGGCUGCGUUGAUCCCUGGUGAUCUAAAUGAGGAUAUGUGUAAGCGUGAUAUAAUAUUUCAGAAAUAAAGCGGUAAGCUGAUAAGGAUUAGUGAACUUCAUCCUUCAUACAUUGCUCUACAGUAUCCUUUGAAUCUUCCGUAUGGUGAAACAGUUUCCAUAUUGCCAUUGAAAAAUGCUUUGCAAAGACUGGAAAGAAGAAACGGAAACGAGAAUAUAUUAGCAUGCGACAGUUUUUUGCAUUUCGUAUACAGGAGCGAAAGAAUGAUUGUAACACUUUGCUGCAGGCUAAAAGGUUAUUCCACCAGUUUCUGGUUGAUGUUUUUACUAUGAUAGAGGCAAAUCGUGUCGGCUAUCUUGACAAAAACAAGACAUCACUCAUAUCUGAAAAUCUUGAUUCAAUAGAAGAUGCAUCAAAUAAAGGUAAAAAGAAUUUGUGUGAUCAAGGUAGAAAAACGUAUUUGCCUCCUUCAUUCACUAGUGGACCUCGAUAUAUGACUCAAUGCUACUUGGAUGCAAUGUCUGUAUGUAAACAUUUUGGGUACUCUGAUCUUUUCAUCACCUUUACAUGUAAUCCAAAGUGGCCAGAAAUCACAAGGUAUGUGAACGAGCGGAAACUCAUUUUUGAUGAUAGACCAGAUAUAAUUUGUCCGGUGUGCAAAAUGAGGCUAGAUUCUAUGAUGAUGGGUUUUGCCGAUAACACACUUGGUAUAAGAAAAGUUGUUUCUGGUUAGUAACUUUGGCAUUCUUUAAUAUUUACAUUUGUAAUAUCAAUAUUAUACAGUUUAUUCAUUGAUAUAUAUUUUCGUAAUUUCAGCCAUGUACACCAUAGAAUUUCAGAAGAGGGGUCUACCGCAUGCACAUAUUCUAUUGUUUUUAGAUCCAACUUCAAAAAAUCCUCCUGAAAAAAUCGACAAUGUUAUAUCAGCUGAGAUACCCGACCGAUAUGAAGAGUUAGAGCUUUAUGGAAUUCUUUCAGAAAUGAUGAUUCAUGGUCCAUCCGGUGAUCUUAAUCCAAGAUCACCAUGCAUGUCUCAAGGGAUUUGUACAAAAAUGUAUCCUAAACAGCAUAUUGAGACGACAGCUAUUAAUAAAGAAGGUUUUCCUUUGUAUAGGAGGAGGUCACAGCUCAAGGAUUACGUUGACAAAAAUGGAUACAAAUGUGAUAAUAGAUUUGUGAUACCCUAUAACAAGAAGUUGUCUCUUUGUUAUCGAGCUCAUAUCAAUGUAGAGUGGUGCAACCAAGCUUCUUCCAUUAAAUACUUAUUUAAGUAUAUAAAUAAAGGGUUUGAUCGUGUUACGUUUGUGAUUGAGCCUUCGCAAGCACAGAAUGUGAAAGCUGAUGGAGCAGAUAACAGUCAUUGUGAUUCCACACAUGAAUGUCAAGCAAAGAAGAAAAAUGAGAUUAAAGACUUCCUCGACUGCAGGUUCAUUGUCAACAUUUAUAUUUGAACUACUGGCAGAAUAAAAACUAUAUAUUUCAUUGAAUAUUUAAGUUGUUUACUUCUAACAUACUAUUUUAUUAUACAGAUAUGUAUCUACAUGACGAAUCUUAAAAAAUCUAAUCCACAAUCGUACAACCCCCGUGGAACACCUUUCAUUUCACUUACCAAACAAACAGUUGGUAUAUUUCAAGGCCGAUGAUAUGGUAGAAAUGGUUAUCCAUAGGGAAAUUGUAAAGAACAACAAAGAUGACGGCUUGGUUUGAGUUAAACAAAAAAGGUGGUAAAUGUAAAACACUUACGUAUGGAGAAAUCCCUGUUUACUAUACGUGGGAUAAAUCACUUUGGAUGUUUAAACCUACGAAAAUAGGAUUUGCUAUUGGAAGGAUUACUUAUAUUCCAUAUAAACUAGAAGAAGCUUAUUUUUUAAGGAUUCUUCUUAAUGUUGUCAAGGGUCCAGAAUCAUUUGAUGGCAUCAAAUCCUACAAUGAUGUGGUAUACCCUUCUUUCAAGGAAGCAUGUUAUGCUAGAUAUGACCAGAAGUAUAUUAGUGAUAUUAUUAGAAUGAGUUUUACUGCAACUGGGUCAUUUUUAAGACGACUAUUUGUUAUAAUGCGUGUAUCUGGUAAUUUGUCUCGGCCUGGAUAUGUUUGGGAACAAACCUGAGAAGUUUUGUCAGAAGAUAUUGAAUACAUGCGGCGACAGCAUUGUAAUCGGCCAGGUUUGAUAAAUUCCCUAUCAUUUUUUAUUUAUUUUAUUGCAUCUUUAACAGUAUUGUUUUAAACCGUAAUGCAUUGUUUAAUUUGUUACCGAUUAGUAAACUCAUUAUACAUAUAAUUUACACGUUUUGUAGGUUUUAUAUUAGACGAUGCUGAUAAGAAAAAGUUUGCCCUUUUGGAGAUUGAGAAGAUCUUGAAAUUUCACUAUAGUUCAUUGCAAUUCUAUACGUCAAUGCCUAAGCCUCCAAAAGAUGGGCUUAACAACGAUAAUGUCUUAAUAAUUGAUGAAAAAAAUUAUGAUAGACAGGCAUUAAAAGAAAUACAUGAUAGAGACAUUGUGAAGCUUACCACUGAGUAAAUAAAGAUUUAUGAUGAGAUUAUUGAAGCAGUUGAGAACAAAAAAAGAGGCGUUUUUUUUUUGUACAUGGAUUUGGAGGUACUGGCAAAACUUUCCUUUGGUCUCUUUUGUCUACUGCAAUGAGAUGCAAGGGUGAUAUUGUGCUAAACGUUUCAUCAAAUGGAAUCGCAUCUUCUUUGUUACAAGGAUGUCGAACAGCUCAUUUGCGGUUUGGUAUACCUAUUAACCCAGAUAAAUAUACUACAUGUUUGAUGAAACGUGGUUCAGAAGUUGCGAAUUUGCUAGAAGAAGCAUCUCUUAUUAUUUGGGAUGAAGCACCUAUGAUGAGUAAAUACUGCUUUGAAUCGUUAGAUAAAAGUUUAUUUGACAUCAUGCAGAAUGAAGAAGGAGGUGUUUUCGGUGGGAAAGUUGUUGUAUUUGGUGGAGGUUUCAGGCAGAUUCUACCUGUCAUGCAUGGUGCUUCAAGGGGAGAUGUUGCUAAUGCUGCAUUGAAUGCAUCCUAUAUCUGGGAUUAUUGCAAAGUUAUGAAGCUAACGAAAAACAUGAGGUUACUGGCAAGUGACUUGAGUGUUGAGCAAGCAAAUGAAUUAAAGGAAUUUUCUGAAUGGAUUUUAGAUGUUGGCGAAGGUAAAAUUUCUGAGCCAAAUGACGGUGAAGCAAUGAUUGAUAUUCCUGAGGAGUUCCUUAUAACGGACGUACAUGAUCCAAUCGAAGAAAUAUGUACACAAAUUUACGGAGAACAAACAUCAUUUUAGGAGGAAAAAGAGGCCAAAUUUUGCCAAGAAAGAGCAAUACUUUCUUCAACCAAUGAAGAUGUGAACAAUAUAAAUGAACAUAUGUUGUCGAAGAUGACUUGUAAGUACAAUAUGUUCAUCUUAUAUAAUUGUGUUUUUUGGUUUGUUUUUGGAAUUUUAUUCUUACUUAUAUCAAUAUUUUGAACUAAUUAACACAGGUGAGUCAAAAGUAUAUCUGAGUUCUGAUACUAUAGAUCCUGCUGACUCCGGAGCAUUGCAAAAUCCCGCUUUUACUCCUGAGUUUUUAAACAGUAUAAAAGUUGCUGGACUUCCCAAUCAUUGUAUUACAUUGAAAAUAGGGUGUCCUGUGAUGCUGCUCAAGAAUAUUGAUCCUAAAGCGGGAUUGAUGAAUGGAACGAGACUUCAGAUUACACAAAUGGCGGAUUUCAUGAUAGAAGCAAGAAUUAUUAUUCCACGAUUGCUGAUCACUCCAUCUGAUGUAAGAUUGCAUUUUAAAUAAGACAUUGACAGUUACCGUUAGCAGUUGCAUUCGCUAUAACCAUCCAAAAAAGUCAGGGACAGUCGUUAUGAGAAGUAGGUUUGUAUUUACCUCAUCCUGUGUUUUCUCAUGGGCAGCUCUAUGUUGCAAUAUCUCGGGUAACAUCGAAGAAAGGCUUGAAAAUACUGAUAGUAGAUAGAGAUGCUAAUCCACAAAGGCAAACAAUGAAUGUUGUAUUCAAAGAAGUAUUUCGGAAUUUAGGAAAUGAUCAUGAUGAUUAAAAAGUUAUGUUUUUCAUUUUCGUAUUCGUUCCGUUAAUAAUAUAAUGCAUUCAUUAUUUAAAACUUUUUGUUUUUAUGUUUUAUUUAGGGGUGAAUGUGUCACUGUAUUCAUAUGGUUAUUAUAUGAUUUGGCUCGGUGUUGUUUAUCGUUUGACGUUGUUAUAUUUUUCAAUUGAACAAUAUAUGUCGAACCAAUUGAAGUAUUAUUUUGUUUUGAAAUACAGUGUCAUUUGGUUAAUUGUUUUGGGUUUUUAUGUAAAAGUGUUAUGUUUGAUAUGGCCCAUUUAUGAUAGAAACUAGAUAGAAGUUUAUAUUUUGGUAUAAUGACCGUUUGUAUUUGCAAAUUUUUAUGCUUAUAUUUAUUUCGAUCGAGUAUAUACGGACCAAUGUUUACCUUUAUAUAUAUUGAAAUGGUAGUUUACAAUGACGUGUAUGAGAUAAAUCAGUCUCGAACAGAUUGGAUUGUAUGUAGUUCAGACAAUGAAUUCGGUAAGGUACACUUAUAGUAUUGGUGUAUGACACAAAGGUUUAGUUAUGAUACACUAUAGUUAUAAAAAACUAUUUUAUUUAAUGUUUUAGGCUUUACAACUAGCGAAUAACAGUACCAUAAAGAAUGUGUUGAAUCAAAUGUCUUAUAUAUAAUUAGACUUGACUUUUGAAAAACUAUAUUCAUCUAUUAUUGUUUAAAAUUGAUAUUAUUGAUUGGAAAAUAGUUGAAAGAGAUAAAACAUUCAGCUAACAAGAUAUUACUUUGAAAAGUACCUCACAAAUUAAAAAUUAAUCAAUGCACAAAAUACAGCUAUAUAGCAACCUCGAUUGCAUCUAAAAGAAACAUACUGUCUAUUUACUUUAGUGCAUGCACUCGAACUUACCAUCUUUAUGUGUCAGACCUAUAUCUUACAGCAAACAGAUUUCAUUUCAUGUAAGUGAAUUAUCACAUCAAUAAUUGUUUAUGGUUGCAUGCUAAAGUAAAUAGACAUUAUGUUAUUUUAGAAACUAACCAUCAUGAUUUACCAAAGGAUAUUUACUUAUCACACUUAUAUUAUCCAUAUUACAUGAUAUAUCAAAUCAAAAAUGUAGCAAACUAAUUGUUAAGUAAUAACAUUACUUAUCGUUUAAGACAAUAUAUAGUAUAUUCAGUUGUUCAUAUUUUUGGUAGAUAAUAUAUUUAAAAGAAUAUUGUAUUAUUCUGACAAUUUGCUUAUAUAAAAUGUAGUAUAUAUAUUGACAUGAAUUAAUACAUAAAAAUAUAGUAGUGCAUUCAUUGUAUAUAAACCUUCUUAACUGCACCGAUAGUUUUAAUAAUUAUGGUAUUGAUUUAGUAAGAAAAUCGAACCGGUUCAAAAUUUAUUGAAGUAGUGCACCUUUUACUGUUGACGACAAUUCUAUUUUUUUGUCUUCUAUAUAUAACCCGUCUUCAUAACUGAUAAUCAAUCCUGCAUUCGAUGAUAUUUUGUUAGAAAAAAAUAAAAUCUCAACGAUUUAAGUUCUCUAACGAUGUCUUACUAUGACUUGGUUAGUCAACUCACACCAUGGCAAGAUAACUCUGUGAUACGUGUUGUGAUUUACAAGAAGUGGAUUGAGAAAGAUAGCCGUGUUCGGGAUUGUGUGGAAAUCAUCUUAUGCGAUGAAGAGGUAAAUAAUAUUAGAUUUCUGUUAUCUCGGUUUUUUAGUAUUUAUGAAUUUUUAUCUAUAAUAGUUAAAAAUUGUUUCUUUAAAUAUAUCGUUUUUAGGGAUGCAAAAUUCAUGCUGCUGCUUAUAACUGGAUCCAUGAAUAUUUUCGAAAAGAAUAUCACGAAGGAGAUUGGUUUGAGUUUCGUAAUUUUAUUGCGAAAGCUACUGACUGGAACAAUUGGAACGAGCGCCCAACUACUCAUAAUUACAAUAUUAUUCUUACGGCAUGCUUUACAAACUACCAGAAGCGAUAUUAUUCUUGAACUUAAUCAAAUUUGAAGAUAUUGUGAAUAGGAAAGUCGAUCCUGCGUUUCCUAUAGGUAAUAUUUACUUUCCUGUGUAAGAUAUUUACAAUGACUGUUUUCUCUAAUAUUUAAUCCAUUAUUCGUUAUGUCUUAUAAUCGUUUUUUUAAAUAGAUUUGGUUGGUGUGAUCAAUUAUGUUGGUGAAAUUUCAAUGGACAAUGAAAUUGAGUCCACUUCAGGAAUACAUCCAACAAAAUGUUUACAAUUUCAUAUAAGAGAUCUCGAGUAAGUAUCUUUUUAUUUUUUAAGAUUGUUUUAUUUUUUAAGUAUUCAUAGUUUUUUUUUUGUUAUCUGUAUACAUAGUGACGUCAUUAUCAAGUGUUUUGCAAUUGACCAAUUUGCAAGUUGUUUCGAUAAUACGUGGAAAUCGAGAAAGUCUGAUCGUGUUUUUGUUCUAUUAACUGAGUGGAGACUUGGGGUCUAUAAAAGUUAGUAACCACAUGUAAAUUAAAUUUUUAUUUGUUUCUGAAAUUAUACAAAAUUAUAUUACUGUGUCAAUAUUUAGUUUUAUAUUUUACUUUGUAGGUAAACAUAUUGUUAGAAACAGAGGAGGUCAGUCUCGAUUUCUUUUCGACCUAGAGAUUACUGAAGUUCAAGAGUUUGCUUACAUGUAAGAAUUUGAGUGAAGUUGUAAUAUUAAAGUACAGUUAAUUUUAUGUUUGCUUAUAUAAUUUUAAAAACUUAUUAAACAGGUUUGUUUUAGCCGGCAAAGAAUCUAAUAUCAAACCAGGGAACUAAGAUGAUGCUCGAGUAAAAGCGACUAUAUUCAAGCAUCUAUUGUCUAAGGAGAUAUGUCCUCCUAUUACUUUUAUUCAAGCAUCUAUCUAUGGUCUUUAUGUAUUUCUGUAGACUUAUUUUAGUUGAUAUUUAAUUUUAUCAUUUUACUUAGUUAGUUACUAAUGUUAUUAAAUUUAAAUCAUCUUGAAAUAAAUAAGUCUCAUUUAUGUACACAAUUAAAUUCACUUAAUUUUUUUCUUUUUAAAAAAAAAAAACGAGUUUCAAAAAUAUAAAUUAGGUUUGCCUUUAUAUCUUCCACACCCUUCCCCACAACGCCUUGGUAGUUAAAGUACGUCGUCUAUUUCGCUUUAUAAGAAUAUAUCUAUCAGAAGAAAAAAUCAUCCACUCUUUCUUAUCUAUAAUUGUCUAAAAUCAUGGAUUACCCAAGAAUCCAUAGAGAUGAGAUGAAAGAUUUACGUGACGUUGGUCAAUGUUGGGCUAUUGAUGCGAAGAUUUUGAAUAUUUGGAGGCAACCUUUAGAUGGCAGAGAGAGUAUUCAUAUGAUACUGAUGGAUCAUAAGGUACAAUUGCAGAAUAUGAAUUUCUUAUUUUUUUUACUAAAUUUGUUAUCAUAUUGCUUCUUCUUACAUGUUAAUUCCUAUCUGAUAACACCGUAUUUUGAUCACUUUUAUGGAUCGUUUUGAAAUACUUUUUCCAUGUUUUUAAUUGCUUUUAAGUACUUUUAUUACGUUUUUCUAGUAUUUGUAGUCAAACUUUCAGGUAACUUUGGGAAAAGCUUAACAAAAUGGAUAGAAAACCAGAUUUCAGCUCAGAGUCAAACCGUCAGAAGUUCACCCCCGAUUGAAGGCCUUCUCACCGUCUGAUCCAGCUUAAAUUUGGAGAUCUUAAAGAUGGAAGUAUCAGCUUUCCAGCACACUUUACAGCUUGGCAAUCCAACUGUUCAAUCAAAAGAUACGCCAAGAGCAAGAUGUCUCGUAAACCAGCCGGCAAGCGUUUCCACCCGGGACCAACAGGCCAUUUCCCGCGGUCACAAUCAUCCCGACUGCGGCCAGCCACCCAUUCCCCGCGGUUACACUCAUCCCGACCGCGGCCAGCUAAGUCCGACUCCGAAGGCCCAUUUCUGAAGCCCGUAUCAUUUUCCCAGCCUUGAUUCUGGAACCCUAGACCCUAGAGAUGUCUUGAGCACUAUAAAUACAUGUUUUAGGAACCCUAAUUCGUAUGACCUCAUAUGCUCUUAUUGUUUUAGAAUACUUUUUAGGUUUUAGGUUUUAGGGAGAGAGAGAUUUGUCUCUUGAACCCUUGUUCUUUUUUUUUGAAUUUCGGUUUAUAUUCUACUUUUUAAUACUAUGUUUUUGAUUUCGUUCAUUAUGUCUGAGUAGUAUUAUUAUUGGGAUUAAGGGAUUUUCGAUGGGGAUAUAUAUGUUCGGUGAUGAUUCCAGUGGCUUUUGAGCCGAAUCUUAAAACUUUUUCUUCUGAAUUCGUUUUUACUGCAUGAGAGUAGCGUCAUGAACUACAAUCUGAUCCAGAUGCUUGGUGAAACGAAAGUGUUCAUCCGGUGUCAGGUCUAGUUUGGGAGAGCAAAACAAACAUAGGAGUCGAAACCUACCUAUAGGCGAUUUGUGAAUGCUGAUGAGUCUUAAACAUAAUGCAUCUCUUCUUUUCUAGGGCCAGAGUGAAAACCUACUGGUCAGGAUUGAGAUAGAUAGUUGUCUAUGAUCACGACAGUGGCGUAUUCAUACGUCCGUGACUCCAGUUCGAAAAGUUUAAGCUAAGAUCUUAUCAAAUUUACUCUCUAGCAAUUUUUUGAAUCGCUCAUACCCCUGAGAAAACUGAUAACACCGGAUUUUGACCAUUUUGAUGGAUCACUUUAAUAUCUUUUACAGGUGUUUUUACUCCAUUUUCAAAGGUUUUCAAAGGAUUUCUAUGUUUUCGGAUUUUAAAAGACUUUUCAGGUAAUUUGGGAUAAAGAGGCACAAAUUGGAACAAAAAGACUCUUUUGGAUAAAUGCAGACCGUCAGAACUCUCAUGGAGAGACGACGACCUUCUCACCGUCUGAUCACCCUCAAAAUUGGACAACUUAUAGAAGAAUCAACCAGCUUUCAAAUGCAUUUGGUUUGGAGACAUUCCAACGGUUGGAUCUCAAGAUAUUCCAUUAGCCCCGGAGCCACUCGAAGACGGCCAGCAAGUCACGCGACCGCGGCCAACAGCCCAUUCCCUGCAGUCACAAGCCUCCCGACCGCGGUCGGCUAACUCCGAACUAAAGCCCAUAUUUCUGAAGCCCAAAGUCAUUCUCAGCCUCAAUUCCGGAACCCUAGAGACCAUGGAGUAUUGAAGACUAUAAAUACUUAUCAUUUAGGUCGUCUUUAGGGAGAACCCUUCAUACUUUACAGAAACCCUUUUCCUUUAGCCGUUUUUAUGCGAUUUUUGUAGAAGAUUGUUCAAAUCCGAGUUCUUCAAUAGAGAAGCUUUCUUCAUCUCUUUUCUUUACUGUUUUUGAUUACUUUUAUUAAAACCAAUGAUGAUGUCGACCUCAGCCAUGUCUGAGUAGAUCCCGAGUUGGGCUUAGGGUUCCCGAAAGGGGCUCUCAUAAUCGAUUAAGACAUCUAGGUUUAUAGAUCUAGGAUUUCAACUUUGUUCUCUGUUUAUUCUUGUUUUAAUUGCAUGUAUGAUUGAUUGAUCACCUAGUAUCUGAUCUAGAUAGUUAGUGUUGUGAAAUUUUUCAUUAAGUAUCAGCCCUAGAAUGAAACAGGCAAUUUUUCCGUAGAAGUGGAAACCUACCUGCGGCAAGAUCGUGAGUAUUGACGAGUCUUGUGCAGCUCUUGCGUUCUCUCCCUUCCAGGGCCAGAGUGGAAACCUACUGGUCAGGGUUGCAAGAAACAGUUGGUUAUGAUCACGACAGUGACGUAGUCAUACCGCCGUAAUCUUGCUCUAGAACCCUAUAUAUCGAUAUCCGUCAAUCCCAAUCUAUCUACCAUAGUGUUAAAACUGAUUAUGAUCCCUGUAGAGUUCCCGAAAGCUCAGCGUUUUUAGCCAUAGUUUACAAACCAAUCGAUUUUUACUUGCUUAUUUAGAUCCGCAAUUCAAUUGUUUUAGUUCGAUAUUUUGCUUGCUCUAUUUGCUUUCUAUUCGAUUUUUCUACUUGUUUUCUAGGAUAGAUUUAUUCGCUUUCAUUAGUUUUAGUUUAAUCCGUGAAAAACAACCAACCUCUAAAACCAAUCUAGUCUAGACAUAAAGUUAGAAACCGUAGAAGAAUACCAGGCACACAAAUCUUUGUGGAUUCGAUCCCUAAAUACUACAACUGAUUAGAUGUGCACUUGCUGCUUUCAUUUGUUUUUGUUAAGGGUAAAACUUGUUCCCUCACGCAGUUGACACGCAUCAAGUUUUUGGCGCCGUUUCCGGGGAUUUGUUUCGCUGCCUUUUCCUAUUUUUCUUGUUUUAACUUCUGUUCUAGACACCUGAUCUCUAGUUCUUUCUUAAAGUUUUGCUGAAUUAUCUUUCUCUUCUUUUUUUUUUCUCUGAAUUGCAUGAAUACCAAGCGCAGACCUGUAGAAAACAUUCCAAUUCUAGACGAGAUAGACAGACACGAAAGAGAACUUCGAUGACUUAGACGAACGCAAGGAAUGGCCAACGACGACCAGCCUGGAGAUCCUAUUAACCGAGCUUUAAAUAUGGACCAAGACGGGUCCGAACAUGGAGAAAUGAAGAGAAUGAUCACAGAGGAGGUGAUCAUGCUCGACAAGAUGGAGAGUAGGAUAAGGUUCGUCCAAGAAACCACCAGAACCGAUGGCUGAAAGUGCUCAUUAAGGUCAAUGUCAAUUCAAUGUCAAUUCUGCUUGCUCAUGGUUUCAAUUAAUCUCUUUAUACUAGUAUAGGUAUAACUGAUCGUUAAUUGUUAAAAUCAGCAUCCAUAUUCACACUUAUUCCAAAAAUCAUCUCGUCUUGCAGAAAAAUGGAACAAACCAGAUCUCGAAGAAGCCGUCGCACUGGUGACAGCUCUGAGGACAUUCCCGAUGAUGCUACUCUAGGAGAGUACAUGCUGAACCAAGCCAGACCGAGAAGAAGAAACUAUGUGAUGAGAUUGCUCCAGCACUCAAGAGAAACGCGAGCAACUCCCGAGCCACCACAGAUCCGAUACAUUGGCAAGGAAAAAAACCCGAGAGUGGACUAUGCAAGACGUUUCAAGAAGCUGAACAUCAAGCCCACGCCUUGCAUUGAUUAUCAUGCACUUGAGAUGCUUGGAAUCAGAGAAGAUGUAAUCUGGUACAUCGAUGCACUUAAGCUGAGACCCUACAUGGAGCUGAACCUUCCAACUUAUCCUGAGCUAGUCCGCGAGUUCUUAGCAACUAUUACACUUCACCACACGAAGAGGAGGAACCCCAGAGAAUCAGAUGGCAUCUUGUCAUUCUCUAUCCGCGGACAGCCUUACUCGCUCACCAUUUCUGCACUUUGUGAGGCUCUUAAGCUUCCAUACACCGAUGGCAUUUACCUUGAAGAUGAACCCGAUUUUAACUUGUGGAGAGAGAUGGGUCAUGGAUUCUAUGAUAGCGGGAGAUCCAAGUCAGCCAUUCUUACUCAUCCUGCAGUGAGAGUUGUGCACAAACUCUUAGCACACACGAUUUUCUCUAGAGCCAACAUGGGAUGUGUUUUGAAGACCGAGCUCAUUACACUUCAGAUGCCAUUUAUGGACGAUCCACGACUUGCCUGCUUUGCCUGGAUCAUAGCACAGAACAUGGUAAAGGUGAAGCAUGAUUUACAUGGUUGCGAUGACGCUACUCCAGCUUACGGGAGUGCUAUUACAGCGAUACUACAGGCUGUAGGAUUCGAUUUCUCAUCUGAUGAUCCACCUCCCGAUGUCUGGUAUGACCUACUUUAUCUUUCUCGCGAUCACACUAUCUCUCGUGCUGCUUUCGAUCUAGACAGGUUUGGUUACAAGUAUUGCACAGGCACCGAGGAGCACCGAGUCUGCUUGCCUUCGGCAUCAGUCCCGAGAUUGUGUAACGGAGGACGUCCGCGAUGGACUCCGGAACCCGAUGAGUUUCUGCCAUCUGUACCUUGUCUACCAUUCACCAUUGGCCAAUACAUAGUGGCCAAGGCAAAACGCGAUGCAGCUGCGGCCCGUGUUCACUUUCAGCCAUCUGUUUCGACUGGCCACACCUCAUCAUCUACAUCAUCGCACACACAUUCUGAUAUGGAGCACAGAGUUGAGAGACAGGGAUGACGCUUUGAGCGCGUUGUCACUUUCCUACAGGAGCAGCACCAGUUUGCAGCAGACACAUCGGAGGAUGAGUGAUUGAUCAGCACUUCACUGCCAUCACGGUUCUAUCAUCAUUUUCUUCUUUUAUCUUAUUUUAUUUCGCUUUUAUUUACCAUUUUUUCACCAACUUUUUCACACUGGGGAUAGUGUGAUUUAAGUCUGGGGGAGGAUGUCUAUCCGUACUAAUCAUUUUCUUGCUUUUGCUUUCACAUUUCAAGCACUUUUUAAAUUUUAAUAUGUAACCUAUUCGACAUUAAGUAUUUUUCAGGAAUGUUUGACAUAAAACUAUGAUGAUUUAGACCUGCACGCUUCUACACUAUGCAUGAUAGCUCAUUUGUGGUUAGCACUAGACUAGGCGGUAGCUAGAGUACUUGCACUACGAACUCCCACCAGAGUACUUCUAUUCAUGGAGAUUCUUUCUGAUAGGAUAUACUAGCUCAUUUUAUUUGACCUUAAUAUUGACAUCUAAUUUUCUCAUCAUUGAUUUUAGGCAGGCAGCGACAUACACAUCUAGGACGUCUUUUACCCUCACUAUUACCACUCUUUGUCGUCCUAGAUGACCAUUUUAUCUUUAUCUGGUACCAUACCCUAAACCCAAAACCCUUGUUUUCAAUUCUCAUGCAUUCUCUCUCUAGUUUAUAUCAGCAGAUAUGUGCAAAAACGUCGGAGAGAAGAGGAGCGAUGUAGUUUUCAGUCACUCACAAAGGAGACUGAAUGGAAUUGGGAAGGAAGAGUAUGAGAAACCUCAUGAAGCUUUGCAAGACAAAUCUUAACUGGUAAUUUCGUGCUCUCUAUGACUCUAUAUCUAGGUGUUCCCUCUCUUCAUAACAUAACAAAAAAAAAAAAAAAAAACCGAACGAAUGAAAAGAGAGAGGGAAACAAAACGCCUAAUGAGUCUUAGAUUGUCGAAAUUUGUGGAGCAAUAAGCAAUCACUAUUCGUUUAAGAAGCUAUGGUUUUGAAAGAUUUACAAAAAUCUAAGUCUGGGGGAGUUAGGAGAGAACCUGAGGAAGAAGACCAGGAAUCUAUGGCAAGAAGAAAGUGACUAAAAACUGUGGGUACCAACAGCUUCACUCUCUCUUGUGGUUUUACAUAAUAUCUUGCAUUCUCCAGAUCUUCAGGUAACCCGUAAACACUUUAAGCCUUACCCCUAGAAUAACCCUUUUUGACACCUAGCCUAGAUUGCCUUGCCUAGACUCUCUUUGAUGAGAACCACCGAGAUUUUUAAUGUGUUAAGAGCUAGUUGACUGGAAGUUAGAUCUUAGUGCAUAGAUUUCCGCAUGAUGGAUUAACGGACUAGUUAUGCCUGUAUUGCUAGUGAGAAUUUUCUAGGCUAUUCCCGAUUGAUGCAUACUGAUUGAUAUUGGUCUAGAAGUUUGGUCUCUGAGAUUUUGUUUAGUUCCUGCGUUUUCAAACCUCUCGCCGAGAUUUAGCCUUUGUUUUGUUUGAGGACAAACAAAAGACUAAGUCUGGGGGAGUUGAUAACACUGGAUUUUGACCAUUUUUAUGGAUCACUUUAAUGUCUUUUACAGGUGCUUUUACUCUAUUUUCAAAGGUUUUCAAAGGAUUUUUAUGUUUUCGGAUUUUAAAAAGACUUUUCAGGUAAUUUGGGAUAAAGAGGCACAAAUUGGAACAAAAGGACUCUUUUGGAUAAAUGCAAACCGUCAGAACUCUCAUGGAGAGACGAAGACCUUCUCACCGUCUGAUCACUCUCAAAAUUGGAACUUAUAGAAGAAUCAACCAGCUUUCAAAUGCACUUGGUUUGGAGACAUUCCAACGGUUGGAUCUCAAGAUAUUCCAUUAGCCCCGGAGCCACUCGAAGACGGCCAGCAAGUCACGCGACCGCGGCCAGCAGCCCAUUCCCCGCGGUCACAAGCCUCCCAACUGCGGCCAGCCACCUAUUUCCCGCGGUCACGUCAUUCCCGACCGCGGCCGGCUAACUCCGAACUUAAGCCCAUAUUUCUGAAGCCCAAAGUCAUUCUCAGCCUCAAUUCUGGAACCCUAGAGACCAGGGAGUAUUGAAUACUAUAAAUACUUGUCAUUUAGGUCAAUUUUAGGGACAACCCUUCAUACUUUACAGAAACCCUUUCCCUUUAGCCAUUUUUAUGCGAUUUUUGUAGAAGGAUUUUCAAGUCCGAGUUCUUCAAUAGAGAAGCUUUCUUCAUCUCUUUUCUUUACUGUUUUUGAUUACUUUUAUUAAAACCAAUGAUGAUGUCGACCUCAGCCAUGUCUGAGUAGAUUCCGAGUUGGGCUUAAGGUUCCCGAAAGGGGCUCUCAUAAUCGAUUAAGACAUCUCGGUUUAUAGCACUGGGAUUUCAACUUUGUUCUCUGUUUAUUCUUGUUCUUAUUGCAUGUAUGCUUGAUUGAUCACCUAGUAUCUGAUCUAGAUAGUUAGUGUUGCGAAAGUUUUCAUUAAGUAUCAGCCCUAGAAUGAAACAGGUGAUUUUUCCGUAGGAGUGGAAACCUACAUGCGGCGAGAUCGUGAGUAUUGACGAGUCUUGUACAGCUCUUGCGUUCUCUCCCUUCCAGGGCCAGAGUGGAAACUUACUGGUCAGGGUUGCGAGAAACAGUUGGUUAUGAUCACGACAGUGACGUAGUCAUACCGCCGUACUCUAGCUCUAGAACCCUAUAUAUCGAUAUCCGUCAAUCCCAAUCUAUCUACCCUAGUAUUAAAACCGAUUAUGAUCCCUGUAGAGUUCCCGAAAGCUCAGCGUUUUUAGCCAUAGUUUACAAACCAAUCGAUUUUUACUUGCUUAUUUAGAUCCGCAUUUCAAUUGUUUUAGUUCGAUAUUUUGCUUGCUCUACUUGCUUUCUAUUCGAUUUUUCUACUUGUUUUCUAGGAUAGAUUUAUUCGCUUUCUUUAGUUUUAGUUUAAUCCGUGAAAAACAACCAACCUCUAAAACCAAUCUAGUCUUACAUAAAGUUAGAAACCGUAGAAGAAUACCAGGCAUACAAAUCUCUGUGGAUUCGAUCCCUACAUAAUACAACUGAUUAGCUGUGCACAUGCGGCUUUUAUUUGUUUUUGUUAAGGGUAAAACUUGUUCUCUCACGCAGUUGACACGCAUCAAAAACUUCCCUGAACCCCAGCGCCUCUUUUCUUAUAGAUUUACACCGAUUUUCAUUUAAGCUUUAGUCUAGUUUCUUUACUCUUUCAAUUGAUUUUCACUUAGCAAUUAGGUCUAGCCAUUUUCUCGUUUUUACCCUUUUUCGUUAAGUUUAGUUAUUAUGUCAUUUUAAUUCCCGUAGUUUCUCUUUAAAAUUUGUUUUUAAGUUUUAAACACACCACCAAAACCCUCACAAAACUCGCCUGGUUCUAGACUUCCUUACUUUAUAUUUCUUUCGAAGGCUUUUGCAGGAAAGAUCCUCCUUCCCUGGGGAUUCGAUCCCUAAGUACUACAAUCGAUCAGCUGUGCACUUGCGGUUAUUGAUUUCAUUUAGGGUAAAACUUGACACCCUCACACACGACCACAUCAAGUUUUUGGCGCCGUUGCCGGGGAAGGCACGCGUUUUCUUUUCCGCAAAACCCUAAGAAAGGUUGGUAAAUCGACUCUAGAACCACUUUUUCUGCAUAUUUCCAUUUUUUAGUUAUUUUGUUUCCAUUUCAGAAGAUAUGGAUCCUAUAAAUCGAAAUCCACACUAUGAUGAAGGUUUUUACAACACUCCUCAAGCCACCAGACGCAGAGAGAAGCAGUACUUACGCGAUCUCUACGAAGAAAUUUGAACCAAAGACUACAGAACAUUCCAGAACGAGCCAUACGUACCUCCAAUGGCAAACCCUAGAUAUCCUAUGUAUCGCCUACCUCACCAGGUUCUCCACCAAGAUGAGAACGUCCAGCUCAGUAACCGAUUGAGUCAGCUCGAGGGCGUGAUCAAGCAGUUCAUAGAAGCUCAAGCAACAGCUACAGCAGUUCUAAACGAAAGGAUUGACAGGAUAUAAAAACUUUCCAAUGAGAAGAUUGAUAACCUAGCUUCACAAGUCAAAUCAAUAGAAGAACGAGGAACAAAGGACGGAGUUAUGAUCGCUAAAAGGUUCGACACCAUGGAGGAAGAGCAAGCAAAGCACACCUACGAGCUCCACAACACCAAAAACAAAGUCAUGGACCUGGAUUUCAAACUUGAUGAUGUGGACAAAGCCCUAAACAAAGCUAAGAAUGAGUCUUAUGACUUCACAGUCAAGGUUUACACAGUCAUUGCCAAAACCGAAGAACUUGACUCAACCAUGGACAAAGUAGUCUAUGCUCUUUAUGAAAUUGAAGAAAAGGUUGAGGAGAUCAUACAAGGACUUGGAGAGCAGAUUCCAGCAACCGAAACUAAAGACUCAAGUCCAGAGAGGAAGUACAUCAAGCCAGAAGACCCAGGAGAUCAUCCAGGAAGCAAAGGAGCAAGCAACAGCAGCAAAUCAACUCGGAGACACUUUCCCGCGGUCGCGUCGCUUCCGACCACGGCCAAGAUGCCUUCUCCCGCGGUCUUGCUUGGUCUACCUGCGGCCCAUGGGCGUUUUCCCGCGGUCGCGUCCCCUGCAGUCAAAGCCAACCGGAAAAACGUUCCAAAACAGUCACGUUCAGCUCAUACAAGCAUCGGUGCGUCUGAUACACCUCCUGUGAUGACUAAACCACUCCAUCAACAAUUGGUUUGCUCCAUCAGCACCCAAAGAUCUGAAGACGAGGACAAGUCAUGGCCCUGCAACAUGGCUUUGUCUUGUGAAGAUGAGUAUGAAGAACAAUACUCUGAAGAUGAAGAGUAUGGGUUGUUUGUAGAAGAUCCAAACACAUGAUAUUCCUCAGAUGACAGUUCAGGAGAAAUUCAAUGGAUCACCAACAACAUCAGUAGAGAGAAGCUCAUGGAGUUCAACAACAUGGUCAAGUCAUUCCCUGCUCACCUAAGCUUUGAUGAAAUCUGGAAGCUUGGUCGUUUGCAAGUCUUUUUCAGGUACUGCAAGGAGUCUAAAGAGGAUAUCCAUAGAUACUUUAUGCGAGCUCGAUACAUGACAACACCUCACCAAUGCUCCCAGCACCUUCAUGAGACUAAUGAACCAUGCCCUGAGACCAUUCAUUGGCGUGUUCGUAGUGGUUUAUUUCGACGAUAUCCUCAUCUACAGUAAAGGUUUGGAAGAACAUCUAGAUCACAUCAGAUCGGUUCUUGAUGUUCUUCGCUCUCAAUCUCUCUUUGCUAAUUUAUCUAAAUGUUUAUUCUGCACUAACGAAAUUGUUUUCUUAGGCUUUGUAGUAAGUGCAGGAGGAGUUAAAGUAGAUGAAGAGAAGAUAAAAGCUAUCAAGGAAUGGCCAACCCCCAAGAAUAUUGGAGAAGUCCGAAGUUUCCAUGGCUUAGCAGGAUUCUACAGGCGUUUUGUUCGUGAUUUCAGCACCAUAGCCGCGCCCUUAACAGAAGUGAUCAAGAAAGACGUGGGGUUCAAGUGGGGAGAGGCACAAGAACAGGCUUUUACAGCCCUUAAAGAGAACCUUAUCAAUUCGCCCUUACUAGUACUUCCUGAUUUUACUAAGACUUUUGAGAUUGAAUGCGAUGCUUCUGGUGUAGGUAUUGGAGCAGUUCUUAUGCAGGACAAGAAGCCCGUCGCUUACUUCAGCGAAAAGUUAGGAGGAUCAACGCUGAAUUAUCCCACGUAUGACAAGGAGUUAUACGCAUUGGUUCGAGCUCUCCAGACGUGGCAGCAUUACCUAUGGCCUAAGGAAUUCGUCAUUCAUACCGAUCACGAGUCUUUAAAGCACCUCAAGGGUCAGCAGAAGCUUAACAAAGGACAUGGGCGAUGGAUGGAGUUCAUUGAGACAUUCCCCUACAUUGUUAAGUACAAAAAAGAUAAAGAUAAUGUGGUCGCAGACGCAUUAUCCCGGAGGUACACUCUUAUUUCUACCUUAACGUCAAAGUUGAUUGGAUUUGAGCAUAUUAUAGAUCUUUAUGAAUCUGAUACUGACUUUUCUGAGAGCUAUGCCAAAUGUCAUAAGUUUGCCUGUGAGAAAUUUUAUAGACAGGAUGGAUACUGUUCUUCAGUAACCGAUUGUGCAUACCACAAGGAUCCAUUCGAGAGUUACUGGUACGAGAAGCUCAUGAAGGUGGAUUAGCUGGACAUUUUGGUGUUACAAAGACAUUUUGGUGUUACAAAGACACUUCUUCGACUACAAGAGCACUUCUAUUGGCCGAACAUGAAGAAAGACGUUGAGAAAAUCUGUUCCAGAUGUGUCGUAUGUAAGAUGGCUAAGAGUAAAGUUCAACCUCACGGUUUGUAUACUCCUUUACCUAUUCCUUCUCAUCCUGGGACUAAUAUCUCUAUGGAUUUUGUAGUUGGCUUACCUCGAACCAGAAAUGGUAGAGAUUCUAUUUUUGUAGUUGUUGACAGGUUUAGCAAGAUGGCCCACUUCAUCGCUAGCCACAAGACAGAUGAUGCUGUGAAUAUCGCUAACUUGUUUUUCAGGGAAGUAGUAAGAUUGCAUGGAAUGCCACAGGUCAUCGUUUCAGAUCGAGACACGAAGUUCUUAGGACAUUUUUGGCGAACGCUUUGGGCUAAGCUGGGAACAAAGCUCUCAUUCUCGACUACGUGUCAUCCUCAGACCGAUGGACAGACCGAGGUGGUGAAUAGAACGUUGUCCACACUUCUAAGGACUUUGGUGAAGAGUAACCUCAAGACAUGGGAAGAGUGUCUGCCUCAUGUUGAGUUUGCCUAUAAUCACGCUAAGCAUUCCGCUACUCUCUUUUCUCCUUUUGAAAUUGUAUAUGGGUUUAAUCCACAAUCACCUCUAGACUUGAUCCCUUUGCCUUUAAGUGGAAAAUGCAGUUUGAAUGGCAAGGAGAAAGCUGAACAGGUCCGAAGAAUACAUGCUAAGGCUAAGGAGAACAUCGAGAAGAAGACAAAGCAGUAUGAGAAGCAUGCCAACAAAGGACGAAAGGAGCUGAUUUUCGAAGAAGGAGAUCUGGUCUGGAUCCAUCUGAGGAAGGAGCGAUUUCCAGCUGAGCGAAAGAACAAGCUAAUGCCCAGAGUUGAUGGACCAUUCGCAGUCAUCAAAAGAAUCAACAACAACGCCUAUCAGAUUGAUCUUCAAGGUAAGUAUGAUGUUUCUGAUGCUUUCAAUGUUUCUGACUUGCUCCCUUAUGUUGCAGAUUCAGAUUUGAGGACAAAUCCUUUUCAAGAGGGAGAGGAUGAUAUGAUCGUGACCAGCUCAGAGGAGGAGGAACCAGAGGUAGCUGGCAGGAUCACUCGUUCCAGAGCUAGAGAGAUGGCUAAGGAGGCUCACACACUCAUGGCCGCAGAGGACAUCGAUCAACUGGAGGCUGGAGCUCACAUCUUCAACAUCUCUAUCUUGAAGAAUGAAGAACCCAGUAACAAUGACUAGGUAACUUAGGUGAUGAUUCUGUACUCUUUUCCUUGGUGAGGAUUUUGGAAGGCAAGGAGGUUCUUUUCCAAGGUUUUUAACGAGGCAGAAAUCAUUGCUACGUCGAGUUACUUAGAAGUUGUUACUAAUGGGUAAUAAUGUGCAAAGUCACAAUGACUUGUGCACUAGUGUUUUAGGCGCACCACUUAGGUUUAGAAGGGACGCCUCGCUGUUUUAUUUUUAAAUUAAACUUCGUGUUGUUUUUAUUUCAAACUCCAUGUAGUUUUGUUAUUAGGGCUGCGAUUUUCUCUCUUAGUCUAUAAAAGGAAAAAAUCGCCUAAGUAAUAUUGAGUGAAGAAUUUUGAUCAAACUUUUAACGUGUUCUUCUCUCCUUGAUUUCUGAGAAAUAAAAACUCUGAAAUUCGAAUCUCUUAAAAACUAAUUUGUUUACAAGAGAUUCUUCUAUCUCUCCAUUCCAUCGAUAUCACCUCAUCAUCACCACACCAUCGAUCGAUCUUCUCACCAUCGCCACCAUCUCAAACCAUCGAUCUGAUCCACCAGCCACCAUCACCACUCCAUCACAUCAUCGCUGCCAUACCAUCCACCAAAUCGCUACAUCUAUUGCCCCUUACUUCAGAGUUGAUCACCUAGGAUCGUAUCAUAUUAUUAAAUGUUUUGCUUUUGGUGAGACUGCUCAAGAGUUUUAUGAUCAGUGGAGGCAUAAAAGAUCUUAUCGCUCAGUAUGUAUUCUCCAAUUUUGGGUUAUUAAGAGCAUCUCCAAUGUAUGACUGCAUAUUUUUCUCUAUUUUGGAGUAACUCCAAAAUGGAGUUGGGUAUUACUCCAAUGUAAACGCCAUUUUUUCCUCCAAAAUGGAGUUAUGACCAAAAAAUGGAGAAACUCUAUUUUUUUGCUCUAUAUUUGGAGUAACUCCAUUUUUUACUCCAUUUUGGAGUGAGAAUUGGAGUAGGGUUGGAGAGAAUCUUGCUGCAAAUUCUAUUUUGCAGUGAAAUUUGGAGUAGGGUUGGAGAUGGUCUAAGGAAUGUAAGUAUUAUUAUAAGUGAACACUUAAAACAAUGUGUCUGUUUAUAUGAAUUAGGUUAAACAUUCACACGUGACUUAUAAAAGUAUGUUAAUUAUGCAGAUUGAUGCGAUUGUAAACAGGGUUGUUGUUUUCGUUUUACUAAGCUUCAGGUUUUAAAUUUAUAACCCCUAAAUGUCUGCAAGUGCAUAGAUGUGCGAUGUAGUACUUAGGGUAUCGAUCCACAGAGACUUAGUUGUUUCAGUACGAAUUCACGGCAUUGCUUAAAUCAGACUAGAACUAAACAGGUUUGGGUUUUGGUUUUGGUUUUGGUUGUCACUAAAUCUAAACUGAAAAGCAAAUAAAAAGCAAUUGAAAAUGAAAGCAAAUGAAAGCAAGUAAAAAAUUGAAUAGGUCAAAGGUGAAUAGAAGCAAGUAAAAAUCGAAUGAGAAGCAAAGGUUGUAAACAAUUAAAGAAAAAUGUUGGGGCUCAAGGGGUUUCCCAGGGAUUCAUGGACUAAGCUAUGUCGAUUAUAAACAAGUGAUAAAGGUAAUCAACUACGUAUGUUCUAGAACUCGAGGCAUGGAAGUAUGAAUAGCCUACUUUCGCAGCACUAAACAACUAUCUCUCGCAACCCUGAUCAGUAGGUUUCCACUCUGAUCCUAGAAGGGAGAAGAUGCAAUAGCAGAACAAGACUCAUCAACAUUCACAACUCAACUACAGGUAGGUUCCACUCCUACAGAAUUAUUGCUCGUUUCACCCUAGUUCAGACAAUCAAUGAAAACUUUCGCAACAUAUCAUAUGAGAUCGGCUUCUAAGUGGCCAGCAGAUAAUCAUGCAGUAAGAUUAAAGGCAAACGAAGAACAUCUAGAAGGUUAAUGAUCCUAAAUCUAUCUAUUCAUAAGCAAAGACACACGAAAUUCCCUUUGAAAAAUCCCUUUAAACCCAACUGGGGAACUACUCAAACAUAUUGUAAACAAUCAUCACAGAGUAUUGAAAGUUGCAGGAAAUUAAAGAAAAGAGGGAAGAAAAACAAAAAACAGAGUUGCAGGUGGAGGCGCGAUGAUGCUCUCCUGCGGUGGCUCCUUCCUCGGGAUCGACGGCUUCUCUAGGGUUCUUCUAUAAUUGAGGCACAAAAACGAACACACCGUUUAGAAUGACCUAAAGGGGGUAUUUAUAGCUUCUGGAGUUGUCCUGGACACUUAGGGCUUCAAAAAUAAUGAAAAGAAUUGAUCUGGGCUUUAAUUAGGUCGUCUGGAAAGUGAACGUUGUCUGGCCGCGGUCGUGAUAGUCCCACCCGCGGGGAAAUAGGUGUUGGCCGCGGUCCCGGCUCGUGGCUCUCUUCCGGGACUACAUUUUCUGUCAUUCUUGCAUCGAGUGUAUCUGAAGAUCUAACCGUUGGAUUGUCUCCAAACCAAGUGCAUUAGAAAUCUGGUUGUAUCCUCUAUGUUGUCACAAAUGUUGGGAGUGAUCAGACGGUGAGAAGGUCUUCAUCGCUUGUCAUACUUCUGACGGUCUGCAUUUAUCCAAAAUUGCUCAUUUGUUCCAAAUUGCAUAUCUUUUGCCCAAAUUUCCUGUAAAGUCUUUUGAAACUCUAAAAAUUUGAAAACACUUUAAAAACCAUUGAAAACAGAGUUAAAACUCCUGCAUAAGACAUAAUUAUGAUCCAUAAAAAUGGUCAAAAUACGGUGUUAUCACAGAUCAAAACAAUGGGAGAAUGUAUGUUAAAUCUCUUACAGGUUGUUCUCGGAUUUUUAUUGAUCCUCCAAUACAAGAGGUUGUCUACUUCAGAAAUAGGUAAGAGGUUAUUUACAUUAUAUGUUAUGAUAUAUAAAAAUAAAUUUUUAUGAAUUGUAUAUUGAAGUAUACAUUUGUGUUUUAUCCGAAUUAAUAAAUCUCCAUCAUCUUUUUCAUGUUAUAGUAUAAAUCACUUUAUAUUUAUUUUUAUUAACAAGUCUCCUUAUAUAUAUGUUUUGUAGGUUUAACUCGGAGAUGGAUUUAGGUUCAGUUUGUGAUAAUUAAGUGUUUUAUAAUAUGUACCAAUAUUUCUUCAUUUGACAUAAUUUUAACUUCGUUCUGAAACUGUUUCGUUUUUUACUCAUGGGCUAAAUACAUUUGCAUUUAUAUUUGUUGCAUUUUUGGUUCAUGGGCCAUUCAAUUAGUUUGCUAUAUAUAAAUUAUAAAAUGCUGGGCUUUCAAGUUAUCAUACCAAAUGAUUGUAAUACAAAUUGAUGGGCUUUGCCCACUUGAUUGCUAACAUAUACUUAAAAUAUACCUCUCCAUAUCAUAAACAUCACACGUAUUGAUGUUUAAAUUCCACAUAUCAUUCCAUCCAUAACAUUCAACUUUAUAUAUACACUGAACUAAACAAUAAUUGGAUAUAACUUAUGAUUUAUUUUUCAUUUUAGCCAACAAAAAUCACGCCCAUAAUCUAGUUUAGAUCUGUAUCCUCUUACAGAUUCGCUCUCUUCUCUCUCCUUACAGGCGAUUGAAAAAGCGAUUCUCAGGAGAGUUUUUUUUUCUCUUCUUUCUGUUCUCUCUUUCACAUAUUUCACAGAAAGAAGAAGCUUUUUCUCUCCUUCCAAUCAUUUGAUCGGAUUUUCUUCGGUAUAUAUCGGAUAUUAUGCUUCCGAUUAGAUUUGGAUAAUAGAUUCCGACUAUGUUCGGACCGUUUUCCGGCUUAGUCCGGUUUUCUAGAUCUCUCUUUUCGUUUAAUCUGUUUCCAUCAGAAUUUCUGAUGAUUUCUUUUAAGUUUUUAACAGGUUUCUUAUCCUUCAUGGAGUAAUAUUUUCGUUUGGUCUUCUUCUUGCUCGCUUCAUGGAGCAAUCAAUAGACAUAAAUCAGAUCAGUAUAUUGGAUCUGGUUGAUGGCGAAGCUUCCUUGAGAUUUGAGAUCUGAAAAAAAUUUAGAAGAGGUUUUCUUAUCUUGCAGCGUUCUAUUUCGAUAAUCAUUAAAAAGAUGAUCGACUGCAUGUGGUGAUUUUAAGCAGAAGGAACUGUAGAUUCGAAGUCAUAUGGCAGUUCAUGGUGGAUAGAAGAUCGGGAAAGUUGCCGGCAGUUUUCGUCGGUUUUGCAGCGGUGCUGUUCCAGAUUAUCUAUUUAGACACGUGUCUUGUCUUUGUACCUCGUGUAUACAUGUGUUUUAUGGAUGUUUUGAAUCUAGUUUGGGCUUCUAUUGGAAUAAUAUCACUAGCACAUGUAAUUGCCCUUUUGGGCUUUCCAAUAUAUGGAAAUGAGGACAAAAAAAAAAGAUAUGUGUCCUCUUAACGAAUUGAAUUAUAAAAUAACUGACCAAUAUUUUUCACAAAAAAAUUUCAAUACUCGUUAUCGCAGUGCAAUAUCUGUAAUAUUGUGACAUCUCAGGCCAACCAAAGACCC
rnacentral:lncRNA from 1 species